CAUGUUACAGCCUCAUACAAAGCUCAAGGAGUUCACUCUCAAGAGUUAUGCCGGAAAGGAAUUUUCAUCAUGGGUUGGAGGUUCUUUCUUCUCUAAUAUGGUGCUUGUGCGCUUAGAGGAAUGUAACAAUUGUUUAUCGUUGCCACCUCUCGGACAAUUGCCUCGUCUCAAAGAGCUUUAUAUUAGAGAAAUGAAUGCAGUCGAAAGUGUUGGUGCUGAGUUUUAUGGUGAGUGUGUCUUGCCCUUUCCGCUGUUAGAGAUUCUGGAGUUUGUGGAUAUGCGGCAUUGGAAGGUGUGGCUUCCUUUCCAACUGGAUCAAGGAAGUAGUGUUUUCCCUUGCCUGAAAAGGCUUUCAAUCAAAGGAUGUUCUAAGUUGGAAGGCAAGCUGCCAGAGAAGCUCGAUUUGUUAGCCGAACUUGAAAUUGUUAAAUGUGAGGAAUUGGUGGUUUCGAUUGCCAAUUGCAAACAACUUCGUCAAAUAAACAUUGACAGUUGUAAAGUGUUGGUACAUACAGAUGCUAAGGUUGAGUUUGAGUUGUUAGAGUCCUUGUGCCUUUCAAACAUUUCGGAGGUGAUGUCUCUGCAAACAGGGGAAUUGUUCAGGAAGGGAUUAAGCAAGGCUAGAGAUUUGAAGAUUAAUGGAUGUGAGAAGCUGACGUCGUCAUUGAAGAAUGAGGGUAGAUUAUUGCAGCAGUUGACUUGUCUUGGCCGUUUGGAAAUUGAAGACAACUCUCCUCUAGUUGAAGAAUUGGGAGAAGAAGCAGAGGAGUUGCUGCAAUUGCAAAUAUUGGAGUUAAAAAAGUGCGAAAAUCUUUUGAAGCUACCAAAAGGAUUAAAUGAGCUGUCGUCUCUUCAAGAGCUUCGCAUACACAAAUGUUCACGUCUAGUUUCUUUUCCAGAAGUUGGUCUGCCACCGUCUCUUAAAAACAUCGAGAUUAGAGAGUGCCAUUCGUUGAUAUAUUUUGCAAAAUUCCAGAUUCCCCAAUUUCUCAGAAGAAUAGAGAUAAGUAAUUGCAGAAGUUUGAAAUCACUAGUAGAACCGAACGGGUUAUUCAGCGACAACACCAAUCACUGCCUUGAAUAUAUUAGGAUCUGGAAUUGCCAAAAUCUGGAAUCCUUACCGGAUGGCUUAUGCCACCUUAGCAAUCUUCAAACUCUAAUUAUUGGGAACUGUGGAAGUCUUGUUUCCAUCCCGAGACUGAGUGCGGAGAGAAGACCCUCCAACCUGAGAGAUAUCAUGAUCAACGAAUGCGAGAAAUUGGAGGCGUUUCCCGAAGACAUGCACAAUCUCAACUCUCUUGAGGGAUUGAAGAUCGACUACCGUAAAGGUUUGACUUUUCCUCCCAACCUAACAUCACUUGAAAUUUGGAAGGUCAAGAGCUGUAAGUCAUUGUGGGAGUUGGAGUGGGGGUUGCACAGACUCACCUCUCUUAGAAAGUUGGGGAUCAGUGGAAAAAACACACGUACGGUGUCGUUUCCACCUGACAUAGUCCGGAUGGAGCCGCUCCUCCCCAAAUCUCUCACUGAACUCAGAAUAGAAGGCUUCCCGAAUCUGAAGAGACUGAGCAGCAAGGGCUUUCAAUUCCUCAACUCCCUUCAAUCUCUGCAACUCUCUAGAUGUCCAAAGCUAGCAUUCAUUCCAGAGGAGGGUCUGCCUCCUUCACUUGGUCAGCUUAUCAUCUAUAAGUGUCCUGUGCUAAAAGUGAGAUGCCAACCAGGAAAAGGACUCUACUGGCACAAAAUAUCCAACAUCCCUAAAAUAGAGAUACAUGAAGCUAAUGGUCCAGGUAUCAUCUCUCGAGGAAUGUUUUAAUAUUAAUAUUAUUAUUAUUAUUAUUAUUAUUAAUCAUGUUUAUUCUUGUAAAGUAAUCCACAAUAUUUGGUUUGGGUCAAGGUUUUGGGGGUUGAGGAGUGGCUGCUUUAGGAGGCCUUCAAUUGGCGACAACCUGGAUACUUCUCGGCCAACGUUUCUUCUCCCGGAUUCCUAUGUUUGCUGAUAGCACUACCCUUUCAAAUUUUAUUAGGUCGAGCUUUUUUCAAUUUUCAAAUUUAAACAUUUUUUUGGGUCAACAGUCCAAUAAUUCGAACUUGUUUUAUCUUUCAUUAAGAUAAUUCUACCAAAAACCUGACCUCAUUUUGUAUCAAGCUUGAGCUUUUAUGAAAUCAUUUGAGUCAAACUUGAGCACAUAUUUACGAGCUUUAUUUGGGACUGACCGAAUUUGAAUCUUGAGCAAUGUUUGUUAAACCAAGGUCAUUUAAUUACGAUCUGAGUUAUUAAUAAGUUGUGUUGUUUUGUGUUGGGUUAGUGGGUCUUGCAAGACAUUGCUUGAUGUUUAAAUUUGACAAACAAUAUUUUAUCAAGUUCUUGAUUCUACAAGUAUCCAACUCGUUAAAAGGUUCUUAAUGAGCAGCUUGAUAACGAAUCGACUUGUUAACAUAUUAACUCGAAACCUGCUAUUUUUAUGUUGUUUUAUAUCGAAUUAACGGGUCGUGUAAAAAAUUAUCAAACCUAACCGGAUCAUGCCAAACUAUUGAUGGUCAAUGACUUAUUUGAAAGUGAUUUUAAAGUGACUGAAAUUGAUUUCAGAUUCCAAAAACACUUUUUAAGUGCUUUUUGGAAUAAUCUUGGGCGUCUCCACCCAUUGCCAAUUGGUUUCGGGUUGGAUGCUCAAUUUGUAAUUAGAAUAACAGGUAUUGUUGUUUUUUUUUAUUAUCUUUCAUUGUUUGAGUGGGGGAUAUAAUCUUUAUACAAAUUGCUUCCUCAUGGUUUUUAUGACUGGUUUCUGUAUCUACUUUUAAUGCUUAGUACAUUAAGGGCAUCGGGUACUUCCUAAGUUCUCAUGGUCAAGUGUUUGUAUGGUUCUGUAUGUAUGUUUGUGAUCUUCAUCCCGACUUUGAAUGCGUAAACUAGAUGGAUGAAGAGGUUUUGUUGUUAUUGCCUUGCCCAACACAAGGAUUUCUUUAAGGGCUAAAUAGAUUUCUUUUAACUGGGUUCUUAUGUCUUCGACGAAGGUUAGAGUUCUUUAUCCUUUUUGGUAUUUCAGUCAAUUGGUGUAUCUUUCGACAUCUGUGCUAAGUGCUUCGUGAAAAUUGAUAUAUGUUGUCUAAAUGGUUGUGUUUCAGUUGCCUUUUCUGAGCUUCUUCCUUCCUGUCUGAUAUCUAUUUUCUAUCCUUCGUCAUAGGAUAUUAGCUCCAUGGUGUGCUGGUUGCUUUAUGUUUGUAUAUUCUCGUGUUUUUUCAUUACAGUGUUGAACUCAGUGAAAUGCUAGUAUGAAUUGGAGUGGUUCCCAUUGUCUUUGAGUGAUUCCUAUCACAACAAUCAGGGAGGAAAUCCCUCUCUUUUUUUCACUCUAGGACUAUCCAAAAGAUGCAGCACUGAAGAAGAGUUAGGACUUUAACUCAGUGUCGCAAAAACCUACUACCAAGAGAAAGUUUGUAAGCACUUAUGUUCCGACUCAGAUCCUUACCAAAGUUUUUUUGAAAGUUGAAAUGAUAUAGCACUAGGCCCAAGGUUGAGAGCAGGUUAGAAUUGUUAGAUUGGUGUUUGGCAUGUAAAGACUAGUGGUAUGAUAUUGGGGUACGUUUUUAGGUAUAUGGGGCCAGUACCUGUAAGCUUGAAGACAACCUAAAUAUGCCCGGGAUGUAACAGAGUGCUUGCCUAUACUUCUGUUUUUGUAGUUAAGAGAACGUAAUUGCUUAGCAAUCAUUAAAUUUGUAUACUUAUUACUUGGGUGCCCUCUGCCUUGCUAUGCUGCAUAACAAUGAGAAUAUAUUACGGAAUUCUAACAGGAAAAAGGCAGGGGACUCCCAAAAUUUGGUGAAUGGGACGUCAAUGAUCCUGCUUCGGCUGAGGGGUUUACUGUGAUCUUUAACAAGGCUAGGGAUGAGAAGAAGACAGGUGGAAAACCCGAGUCACCAGGAAAGGUUGAUCCUAAUAUCAGGCAUGGAGGAGGAGUGGAUCCUGGCACUAGCAGGCCUUCGUCUGUAAGAUUUUUUCUCAUAACUGUUGUCGUUUCUUUCUCUAAUGAUUUGAUAUAUACAUGGGUCAGCCAAUAGAAAUACAUUCUUUGCGGUUUUCUUAGUUGCAAGUUAUUGCUUUUCAAGUGACGUUGGUAGUACAAAAUACAACUAUAUGUAACACUGACUUAUCGAUCAAACUCAGCAUACCAUUUGAUGUGAAAAUCAAUGCAACUGACUUAUAUAGAACUCUAGUAAGGAAAUGUGGCAAAAGACAUAUCUAAUGUUAGGGCCAAGAUAUUUGAAAAAUAAAAGAGCACAAGAUGAUUCGGCUGUUUUAUCUGGAUUAUUCCAUGCAAGUGGAAUUGGCAUACAUUAACUCGGGUUCUGUCUCCUUUUAGACAGAUGUAGCCUAAUAGGAAUAUUUGUUUGUUUUAUUGUGAAUAAUUGAAAGAACCAAUGGCCCUGGAAAUAUUUGCUUUUGUCAAUUGAUCAUUGUGUGACCUUUUCGUUUUUUCUAUGCGUUUUCUGUACCUGCUGCGUUUCCAAUAGUAGACUAAUAGAAUGAAUAACUGGAGGUGAUUAUUUCUGCUGCCAAAAUCUAAUAUGCUUAAAUUCCUCACUCUUUGCGGAUGAUUUGAUUUGGUUUGAUUUCCUGAUGCACAGAAAAAAUGGUUUUGCUGCAUUCAUCAACCACCGGCAGAGUUUUGACAAUGUUGUUCUCCUAAGUGCUUCGAUGGAGGAGCACGAUGUUCUGUAACUGGCUCCACUAUAUUUCCUCACUUAAUCUAUGUCUAUGAAAUUGGCAGCUAGGGAAGUGAAGUUUGAAGCAAUGGUUAGCAGUUUGCCUAAGGAAAUCGUACAUGAUAUCCUUUUGAGACUACCUCCUAAAGCUUUGAUCAGAUGCACCUCGGUGUCCAAGCCUUGGAACUCCAUGAUAAAAAGUCCAAGCUUUAUUCGCACCCACCUCAGCCUUACCAUCGAUUUUAACCAGUUUGGCACCCACCAACUCCUUCUGCAUUGUGUUCGUGGAGACAAUCCAGUGGAGCAGAAUUACUAUUUGCAUUAUGAUAACCAUGCUUUUGAUGAGUACUGCAAGCUAGAGUAUCCAAGUGUUCCCAAGCGCAAUAGAUUUCUUCGUGUGGUCGGAAUGCGAGGAUCCGAAUGCUUUUUAUGAGGCUUAUUCACUUGCUAGAGGCUUGUGGAGUAGUCCUCGUUCUUUUGAUCCCGUUUGUAAAGUUUUAUUCUUGCAAAUUUCAGGCUUUUGUGAACGGGGCAGUUCAUUGGCUGGCAUGGCGCUGCUUGAACGAUGGUCGUUAUCAAAAUUUCAUUUUAGCAAUUGAUGUGGACGGUGAGUUAUUUUGCGAGAUAAGGGUGCUAAAGAGUUUCAGACAGGAUGAACCAUUAGAUUAUCACUUGUCUGUUUCAGGUGAUGGAAACUCCAUUGCUAUGUUCACGACGACGCGUGGUCGUAAUUGUCCUGAGGAUUUUCUUGACAUAUGGGUGAUGAAAGAGUAUGGCAUCGAGGAUUCAUGGGCCAAACUGAUAACUCUCCACCGUAUCCGGAAACAAGGGUGCCCUACAAGCCCUUAUGUUUUAGGAACAGUGGUGAAGUGGUGUCCUGACUUUAUCACUUGUUCUAGAAAAAAACGUCGCAUGUACUGGGAUUUUCUCCGGGAUGCCUUGUGAUAUUCUGACAUUGCUGGAUUCUUGUUAGAGAUGAACAUUUUUCCUUCUGUUUGUCUGUUAAUUUACAGACCUAGAAGAAGUUGCUUAUCACAUGUUGCCAAUGUUCAUGGAUAUAUACAGUUAUAUUAAUUUCCUUGAAAUUUCUUGUGACAUUUUUUUAGCUCUAAUAAGAUUUAUCUCUCGUCACAAGACUUUUACAAUAACUUGUGCUCCUAUGGUCUACCAAAAUAAUAAUAUUGCAGUAGAGACUAGUAGUCUAUUAUUAAUUGUGUGUUCAACUUAAAGCAGCGAGAAAAAUGUGUACCUUUUUCUUUUCUUUUUUUUCAAAGAAUUUUUUAUCUUUUUCCUCUGGGAGGAGGAUUGUCUGCCCUCCUAGUUUCAGUGCCCUUCCAUGCCAUCUUGAUUGUGUGGUCAUGGUUAAGCCACGUUAAUAUUUUAUAUUACUAUUUAUUUUUGUCUUAUUAUAUCUAUAAAAAAACAAUAUAAAAUAAUGAUGUGGCUUAACCGUGACCACACAAAACAGGAGGGCAUGGAAGAGCAUUGAAACUAGGAGGGCAGACAAUCCUCCUCCCUUCCUCUGACCCUUGCAUGCAGGUUUGGCAGUAAAGUAAGAGUUUCCACGCAAUUAAAAUAAUGGCAAACUAGUCUUUCGGUUUUGCACGAAGAUAGGAUAAUUUAUACUAAAUUAUUUUUUUGUCUUUUAUUAAAGAAUCAUUUAAAAAAAAAAGUUUUUAAGUGUUUGGGAUCUUUUAAAUACCAAUUUCAAUACAGCUAUUAGUUCAAGUAACAUAAUUUUUAGUUUAGGUACCAAUGAAAAAAUCAACUAAAAUAAUUCUAUAAAUACUAUUAUAAUUCAAAAUAAUUAUAUGAUUGCCGUGUUUUCCGACCAGCCAACUGUAUUCGCAACCACCUCACCCUUACAAUCAAUCUUAAUAACCAGGUUUCGACUAACCUCCUUGUACUGCAUUGUAAACGCAUACAUGAGCCAAGGGAGGAGCAUUACUAUUUUUGCAUUAUGAUAAAUAACCAUGAUUUUGAUGGGUAAUGUAGACUAGAAUUUCCAAUCAUUCCGAAGGGAGAAUGGUUCAAUAUGACCUAUAGACUACAAGAACUCAAAUUCCUUAUUUGUUAUCUUCUGUAAACCAUUCAUCAGAGCUCUUGACAGGCAGUGACCAUAUUUGAGGAAUGACUAGACGCAUGUUGGGGCGCCAUCAUGACUUCAUGGGUGAACAAUAGAAUUUCGUGUGUAAGUUUCUCUCCACAUACAUCGUGUUAACUUUGUUUUUCUAGUUUCCUAGCAUGUUCCAGUUCGUGCAUUUUCAGUUUUUGGAUAGUGGAAAGGUCAAGUUGGUAGCAAAUUGACACGGCGAAGACGUAAGUCUAAAAUUCAUUGUCACUAAUUCAAUUUACCAAGCUUAAUUGGCCUCUCUUAACCUACAAAAUUGUCAUAAUAAACUAGUAAUUUCACUUCAUGAAAAUCUUGCUCAAUGUUGUUUGACUUGUUUCCCUUCCUAAACAUCGAGAUGUUCGUUAAUUAUAUGCUAAUAAGUUCAUCUUCAAAUGGAUCAUAAAUUAAUAUAGCUAUGUGACUAAUUAAGUAGUAUAACUCCAAAAUGGUAAAGCAUAAUCCAUGAUAAUUUUGGUAAAUCUGGUGUCGGCAGGAUCAUGUUCAUCUUCUUCGUGUUGUGUGGCUCAGGUUGUUUAAGAGUUUUUUACUAUUUUAAAUUGAUUCUCUAUAUUAUCUACAAUGGCCUACAAAAAACUGAACCAAACACCCCCACAAAGGAAAGGGGUCCUUUUCAGAUCCUUUCGACCUAAUUAUCUUCAUCAAAUAAUCCGUGUUCUUAAAAUUUGAUUCAACAACUAAAAACACGGAUCUAUUUUAAAAAUUAUAAUAACUUUAGUUGUUGAAUCAGAUUUCAAGAACCUUAAUAAAGAAGAUUAGGUAAAAGGAAUCAAGAAAUGAUCCCUUUCGAUCACAAAAUAAUAUAAUCGGUGUUGAAAGGAAUGUAGCUCAGUUGUUUACCAGCAGUCACUCAUAACGUUUGGUUCCCCCCCAAAAUCGGUGUUGAAAUGAUCCCUUUCUCUCACACUCUUUUUUUUUUACUUCUCACAUACCUCUUGUUAACUUCUGUCAUUUGAUCUACUUCCAUUUAUCCGAUCCAACGGUCAAAAAUUAAAAGGGUGUGUGAGAGGUAAAAAUUGGUGUAUAGAUAUCACACCCUUUUACUAAAUCCUAAAUUGUACAACUCCUUCAAAUAUAUCAAGGACGAAUAUGGUAUCUUCUACAAACCAUCCAGUAGAGCUCUCAGCAUGCAAUGACCAUAUUUAGGGAAUGGACUAGACACAUGUUGGGGCAUUAUCAUGACAUCAUGGGUUAACAAUACAAUUUGUGUUUAGUCUCUCUUCACAUACAUUACGUUAACUUAGUUUUUCUACUUUCUUAGCAUGUUCGGGUUCGUGCAUUUUCACCUUUUGGGUAGUGGAAAGGUCAAGUUGUUGGGAGACUUAUUAGUAAAAAGCAAAUUCACACGGCAAGACAUAAAUCUAAAAUUACUUGUCACUAAUUCAAUUCCACUGAAUUUAAUUCUUCUCUCUUAAUCUUCAAAAUUAACAUAAUAAGCUAGUAAAUUUCACUUCAUGAAAAUCUUGCUCAAUGUUGUUUGACUUGUUUCCUUUCUUUAACAGCUAGAUGUCCAUUAAUUAUAUGCUAAUAAAACUUGCUCUUCAUCUUCAAUUGAUCUAAUAUAGCUUUGUGACUAAUUAAGUAGUAUAACUACAAGAUGGUAAACAAUAAUCCAUGGUAACUUUUUGCAGGAUUAUUUUCUACUUCUUUGUGUUGUGUGGCUCAGGCUGUUUGAGAGUCUCAACAUUAUCUACCAUGGCCUAUAAAAUUGAACCAAUCACCAUCUCAAAAUAAAAUAAUCGGUAUUGCAAGGAAAUGCAACUCGGUUGUUUACGAGCAAUCACUCUUCCACCCUGAGUUGCGUGUUUGGUUCCUCAUCUCCCAAAAUCGUUCGUAUAAAGGAAAAGAAAAGUAUAACCGUGUGGGACAUAGGAGAUAAGAAAGCAAUUAAAAAGAUAAAACAGCAUGAUCAUGACCCCACAAAAAAAUAAAGAGAAAGUAAAAAGAGGAAGACUUGCUGUGGUCUUUCAACACCUAAUCCUCAUUGCAAAUUGAAGAGCUCUAAAGUGGUCUGGAUCUGUUGAUUUUCAUAAUCUAUGGAAAACAAGUCCCUUCAUCUUCAUCAUCAUCUGAAAACUUGAACGCAGUAAGUUCCUCUUGCAACUAUAUAUGCGGAAUCCAUUAUUUAUAAAUUAAUUAUUUCAUUUUUCUUCAAGAUUGUAUGCUUAAUUAAUUAUUUCAUCGAUAACCAGCUAUAUAAUUUGUUCAGUUUUCAGCCUUAAUUAUUCCAUCAUUCAGUUUGGAUUUAUUGAUCAUCAGUGCAAACAAGCGCCCUCAUGACCUGACAGACUUCCAUGAAACUGCUUCUUGCUACAGAUCUUGUCCAAUAUCCGUGCAGAUUUCGAGUCUUGAAACGUAGGAUUGCAAGGUAAUCCCAAAACUGCCCCAUUUUAUUUGUUCAACAUGUUAAAAUUUAAGAAAAAUGAUGCAUUGCUUACUAGCAUGAUUUUUUCAAUCUUGAGUUUUUAUGGUGUGUUUUAUUGUGCCUUAUCAUUGAGUAAUAUUAUGGUGUACGUGUUUUUCUUUUGACAAACGAUAACGUUAGUAGGUUAAAUUGUUAGUCCCGUACUGGAACACCAACCAGGUUACCCAAAAAAUGAUUCACACACCCAUCUUUAUUCUAUAACUUAAUUCCAUGCUUGUCCCUCGAUACUCGUGAGCGAAAGGGAGGGUCCAAGCGGAUAUGAAAAUGAUCUAUUACUCCAAAGUCUACUUCAUAUGGCCAAUUAUUAGGUGUGUGAUCCUCAUCAUCAACUAUACUUUUUAUAAGGAAUAUCAUUCAUAACCCAGCUAUAAGCAUGCCGAUAUCGUUGAAAGCAUUAAAACAAUGAAAAAUAUGAAGUCUUACCCAGUGGCAGAUCGAAGAUUUUAAUAUCGGUGGUCCUAAUAUAAAGGCCCUAAAAAAUAUUAAGCGAAAAAUAAUAUUGAAAAUUAAAUGCUAGACUACAAUUUUUCAUUCAUAAUUUUUGUACAAACAACAUUACAAGCUACAAAGUACAAAGACUUAUUUGUCAACGAUGAGGUAUGCGUAAUAUCGUUCCAUACUUCUAAUUUCUACACAUAUCAAUUACUCAAAACAAAAAAAAAACAUAUUAAUUGAUGAAGCUAAAAGAAAAAAAAUACCUAUAACUAUUAUGAAUUUAACAUUCUACAACAACAACAACAACAACAACAAAGCCUUUUCCCACUAAGUGGGGUCGGCUAUAUGAAUCCUAGAACGCCAUUGCGCUCGGUUUUGUGUCAUGUCCUCCGUUAGAUCCAAGUACUCUAAGUCUUUUCUUAGAGUCUCUUCCAAAGUUGUCCUAGGUCUUCCUCUACCCCUUCGGCCCUGAACCUCUGUCCCGUAGUCACAUCUUCGAACCGGAGCGUCAGUCGGCCUUCUUUGCACAUGUUCAAAAUCACCGGAGCCGAUUUUCUCUCAUCUUUCCUACAAUUUCGGCUACUCCUACUUUACCUCGGAUAUCCUCAUUCCCAAUCUUAUCCUUUCUCGUGUGCCCACACAUCCCACGAAGCAUCCUCAUCUCCGCUACACCCAUUUUGUGUACGUGUUGAUGCUUCACCACCCAACAUUCUAUGCCAUACAACAUCGCUAGCCUUAUUGCCGUCCUAUAAAAUUUUCCCUUGAGCUUCAGUGGCCUACGACGGUCACACAACACGCCGGAUGCACUCUUUCCAUCCAGCUCGUAUUCUAUGGUUGAGAUCUCCAUCUAAUUCUCCGUUCUCUUGCAAGAUAGAUCCUAGGUAGCGAAAAACGAUCGCUUUUUGUGAUCUUCGCUAGAUUGCUCCGGUCAUUAGUGUGGAUAAGUAUAUAAAUGGAUAGAGAUAGGAAAGCAAACACAAGAUGUACGUGGUUCACCCAGAUUGGCUACGUCCACGGAAUAGAAGAGUUCUCAUUAAUUGUGAAGGGUUUACACAAGUACAUAGGUUCAAGCUCUCAUUUAGUGAGUACAAGUGAAUGAUUUAGUACAAAUGACAUUAGGAAAUAUUGUGGGAGAAUGAUCUCGUAAUCACGAAACUUCUAAGUAUCGGAGUGUGGUGUCGUCUUGACUUGCCUUAUCUAUCUCAUAGGUAGAUGUGGCAUCUUCUCUGGAAGUACUCUUCCUCCAUCCAGGGGUGGUAUCUUUAACUGGUGGAGAUGCACAAGGUAAUGUAUCAAUUUCACUUGAAGCUUACUUGUAGUUUCAGGCUUGGUCAAGCGCGAUACAAACCAUGUAGUAGGAGUCCCCCAAGUCGCCGAGCUAGGGGGUCUGCUGAAAGAGGUGACAGACAAGGUAAGCAAUCAGAGCUCCGACUGAUUGUUCACCUUCUCCCCAUCUUGCAGCAGCAUGAAGGAUAAAGAGAAGAAAAAUGAGAAGAGAUGAUAUGAGAUACUUUUGCUUUUGAAGAAGUAACUUUCCACAGGCUUAUUCUUGAACUGAGCUGGAGGGUUUUCUGGUUUCCUCCAGAGUAUAAGGCCGACUGAAGAAUUUGAGGGUCAAAACAAGUCCAUCAAAUCUAGAGUACGUUCCACCCUGCUGAUAUGGGAUACUUUUGCUUUUGACAGAGUAAUGAAUGUAUCGACCCGUGUGCUGUUACGCUUGUCUCCACAUGCUUCCUUGUAUCCUUCGCACUUGCCCUAUCUGUUCCUCAAGCAGAUGCGGAAUCUUCCCUGGAAACAUAAGAUGUUGAAGAUGAGUACUCGAGAGCAAUGCCAGGUAAGUAAUCAGGUAAGGGGUUCCAGGCAGUCAGUUCCUGGCUGGAAGCUUGAUUCCAAGUGCUGACUGAUUGCUCUCUUUCUCCUUGUCUUGCAGGUAAAAAACAAGGCCAAAAGAAAAGACAGGGAAAAAGCAUGAUAUGGGAUACUCUUGCUUUUAACCCUGAUGAUAUGAGAUAUUCUUGCUCUAGUAUAGCUUGUUUGCAGAGGUAUUAUCGGGGGGAAAGAAAGCUGAAAUAUUUCGAAAGGCUUCGUUGGGAGUGCCCUCUCAAAUAUGAUGAAGGGUUGAGCAUUUUUGCAGGUCUGCCUGUCCGUUGGGGAUGGAGGUCGACAUAUAUAGGAGUCUCCCUAACAACAAGUAGUAAUGCUAUUCCUUUACCCUGCUUGGUCAUAGCACGGUAGUGGGAGCUGCCAGUUUCACAUGUUUUAACUCUGUCAGAGCACUUUGAAAAAGUGGUCUGUGGUAUCUGGCUCUCGAGAUUUGGAGAACGAUGCCUCUUCGAUUUUUGAGAAAGCAAUCAUGCUGGGGGUAUGACUCUCGAGAUUCGGAGAGCAGUGUCUCUUCGAUUUUUGAGGAAGUAAUCAUGUUGGGAGUCUGGCUCUCGAGAUUCGGAGGGCGGUGCCUCUUCGAUUUUGGAGCAAACAAUCUUGUUGGGAGUGUUGUCUCGAAUGUGAGUAAAGGUUGGGCAUGUUUGCUAGUCUACCUUGCCACGAAGCACAAAGGUUGACACACAGGGACUUUCCAAUUAUCCAGCAAUGGUACUGUUCCUUUACCUCUCUCUUCGAUUUUGAGAAAGUAGUCAUGUUGGGAGUCUGGCUCUCGAGAUUCGGAGGAUGGUGCCUCUUCGAUUUUGGAGCAAGCAAUCUUAUUGGGAGUGUUUUUCUCGAAUGUGAGUAAAGGUUGGGCAUGUUUGCUAGUCUACCUUGCCACGAAGCACAGAGGUUGACACACAGGGACUUUCCAAUUAUCCAGCAGUGGUACUGUUCCUUUACAGUUGUGGGUAAUAAUAUGGUAGCUAGACCUUCAAAAUUUAUGUGUCUAAACUUUUGUUAGUGCUGUUUCUUUGCUAUUCUUUUACCUUUCUUGGUCAGAGCGAUGUAGUGGGAGCUGCAAGCUUCACGUGCUCAACUUUGGCAGAGAACUUUGGCAAAGUUAUUUGUGGUACCCAUGAGCUAUUGUUGCGUGUGGGAAGUGGGUGUGAUUGAACAGUAAGAUUCAUGUGCUUUCUACUUCACCAGAAGUCUUCGACAGAAUGCCCAUAAUUUCUGCAAAGCUGAGUGUGCGUGUGACAGGUGCUGACAAGGCUAGAAAAGUAGGUGCCUCUUCGAUUUCUGAGAUCGGCCCUCGUGGUCUCUGAGCAGCCCAGCUUUUGAGAAAGCGAGCGCCUCUUCGAUUGAUUCGGAGAACGAUGCCUCAUCGAUUUUUGAGAAAGCAAUCAUGCUGGGGGUCUGGCUCUCGAGAUUCGGGGAGCAGUGUCUCUUCGAUUUUUGAGAAAGUAAUCAUGUUGGGAGUCUGGCUCUCGAGAUUCGGAGGGCGGUGCCUCUUCGAUUUUGGAGCAAGCAAUCUUGUUGGGAGUGUUUUCUCGAAUGUGAGUAAAGGUUGGGCAUGUUUGCUAGUCUACCUUGCCACGAAGCACAGAGGUUGACACACAGGGAGUUUCCAAUUAUCCAGCAAUGGUACUGUUCCUUUACCCUCUCUUCGAUUUUUAAGAAAGUAGUCAUGUUGGGAGUCUGGCUCUCGAGAUUCGGAGGACGGUGCCUCUUCGAUUUUGGAGCAAGCAAUCUUAUUGGGAGUGUUUUCUCGAAUGUGAGUAAAGGUUGGGCAUGUUUGCUAGUCUACCUUGCCACGAAGCACAGAGGUUGACACACAGGGACUUUCCAAUUAUCCAGCAGUGGUACUGUUCCUUUACCCUUGUGGGUAAUAAUAUGGUAGUUAGACCUUCAAAAUUUAUGGGUCUAAACUUUGUUAGUGCUGUUUCUUUGCUAUUCUUUUACCCUUCUUGGUCAGAGCGAUGUAGUGGGAGCUGCAAGCUUCACGUGCUCAACUUUGGCAGAGAACUUUGGCAAAGUUAUCUGUGGUACCCAUGAGCUAUUGUUGCGUGUGGGAAGUGGGUGAUUGAACAGUAAGAUUCAUGUGUUUUCUACUUCCCCAGAAGUCUUUGACAGAAUGCCCAUAAUUUCCGCAAAACUGAGUGUGCGUGUGACAGGUGCUGACAAGGCUGGAAAAGGCUGGAAAAAGUAGGUGCCUCUUCGAUUUCUGAUAUCGGCCCUCGUGGUCUCUGGGGAGCCCAGCUUUUGAGAAAGCGAGCGCCUCUUCGAUUUUUGAGAUCGGCCUUCGUGGUCUUUGAGCAGCCCAACUUUUGAGAAAGCAAACGCCUCUUCGAUUUCUGAGAUCAACCCUCGUGAUCUCUAAGCAGCCCAGCUUUUGAGAAAGCAAACGCCUCUUCGAUUUCUGAGCAGGCGCCUCUUCGAUUUCUGAAGCUUCGUCGAGUGCAGAUUUUUAUAGGGGCUGGCAUUAAGUUCCAAAGCACACUUGAAUCUCCACCAGUAGAAGCUUCAUUCUUGCACUUCUAAGAUCUUGAUUUGUCCGACCUCUUCUCUCUUCAACACCUUUGAAAAUGUCUGGCCCCUCCGACCGUCGUUUUGACUUGAACCUUGUUGAAGAGGCAGCCCCGCCUUCUCCAGACAACAUAUGGCGCCCAUCCUUCGUCUCCCCUACUGGUCCUCUUACCGUUGGGGAUUCCGUGAUGAAGAAUGAUAUGACCGCUGCGGUGGUGGCCAGGAACCUUCUCACUCCCAAAGAUAACAGACUACUUUCCAAACGGUCUGAUGAGUUAGCUGUUAAGGAUUCGCUGGCUCUCAGUGUUCAGUGUGCAGGUUCUGUGUCUAAUAUGGCCCAACGCCUAUUUGCUCGAACCCGCCAAGUUGAAUCAUUGGCGGCUGAAGUGAUGAGUCUCAAACAGGAGAUUAGAGGGCUCAAGCAUGAGAAUAAACAGUUGCACCGGCUCGCACAUGACUAUGCUACAAACAUGAAGAGGAAGCUUGACCAGAUGAAGGAAACUGAUGGUCAGGUUUUACUUGAUCAUCAGAGAUUUGUGGGUUUGUUCCAAAGGCAUUUAUUGCCUUCGUCUUCUGGGGCUGUACCGCGUAAUGAAGCUCCAAAUGAUCAACCUCUGAUGCCUCCUCCUUCUAGGGUUCUGUCCAGUACUGAGGCUCCAAAUGAUCCCCCUCCGGUGCCUUCUCUUUCUGGGGCUCUACCGACUGCUGAGACUUCUCCUAAGCAACCUUUGUGAAGGCUCCCUCUUGUGUGCUUAUUUUGACUCAUGUAUAUGUACAUAUUUGUAGCUUAUCGGGGAUAUCAAUAAAUAAGCUUUCCUUGUACAUAUUUGUAGCUUAUCGGGGAUAUCAAAAAAUCAUAAUAGUUAAAACAAUACCUAUAAUUAUUAUGAAUUUAACAUUCUACAUGAUUAAUUUAGACUAAAAUAAAAAUCUCAGUUAAAUUUAGAAACGAGGGGAUUAAGUGGUGGUGAAGAAAGGACAGCAGAAUGGUAGGUUAUGUCGGUGGUGUGGACCGUGUGAUCAAUCUGAUCGUGGUUUGUGGAGACUGGAGAGGAGACUGGUAUUGUGCUGAUGGUCUUCGGUUGGGACAAGGAUUGUCUGCCCUUCCACUUCCGGUGUCCUUCCGUGUCCUCCUGUUUUGUGUGGUCACAGUUAAGCCAAGUUAACAUUUUAUAUUGUUUUUUUAUAGAGAUAAUAAGACAAAAAUGAAUAGUAAUAUAAAAUGUUGACGUGACUUAACCGUGACCAUACAAAUAAGAGGGCACGAGAGGGCAUUGGAAGUGGGAGGGUAGACAAUCCUUGUCCCUUCGGUUGAGUGGGGUGGGGUUUUCAAGCUACGCAUCAAAACACACCGUUUUACUUAAAUGACUUGACUCCUUUAAAAAGAAAAAAAAGAAAAAAAAGAAAAAAAAAAAACUUCUUCUCUCCAUCUCGGUUGCAGAAUACCAGAAGACCCACCAGAAGUCAGAACACGGUGCGGCCCCACUCUUCUUCUCCUCCACCACACUUGGUGGUCCACGGAGGUCCUUGCAGCCACUUGUUCGGGCUUCCGGAUGGUCCCAAGACCACCCAAGUCUCUUAGUAGAUGGUAUUACCUCAUGUGAAGCUUCCGAAACAACUUUGAUAUAUUUUUCUCAAAUUAUUAUGAUUGGUUGAAAUUUUUUUUUUAAUUUCCAGCCACGUUAAUUAAGGAUGAAUCAUUUUAUCUCUUAUUUAAGAAUAUUUGUUAAAAACAAAUGUAAAAAUAUUUGUUCCUUGAUCCUAACUUAUUUUGUAUAUAUUAGGAAAAAGAACAUUUCCAUAAAACGUAACAGGACUGCAUACCUGACGGGACGGUUAUGGUGUAGGCAAUCCCUAGCCAUUCCCAAAUUGUCACCUCUAGAUAUGCUUUGCUAGGAGUCCAUUAAUUGAUUACUUCACUGUUACUAUAAAUUUGUAUGUGAUUGCGCAGGCAUCAAUAAUUACUUCUCAUCAUUUUAAUUUGUGCAGUUGUGACUAUUUCUGAGCCUCAACAGAUCAAGCUUCCAAAUUUCCAAGGAACUAGUCUUUGGCUGUUACUCUUCCCUUCGUUGAGUUCUGCACCUCAAUAUUGCUCAAGAACGUUUCACUAUUUCUUUGAUUUCUUGGAGUGCCCUUCACUCUUAACAUGGCACUGGGAGAGGGUUUUCUUGCGGCGUUUCUAAAGGUGCUGCUCAACAGGUUGACCUCCCGCGAGAUUCUCAACUACAUUGGAAACUUCCGGGGCGUCAGAAAGAAGCUGGACAAGUGGAGGGCCGUGUUAACUGCAAUAGGAGCGGUGCUCAGCGAUGCCGAGGAAAAACAACUCACUGAGGAUGCUGUGAAACUGUGGCUCGAUGAUCUCAGAGACUUGGCUUAUGAUGUCGAAGACAUGUUGGACAAAUUUGACACCCAAAUGUUGAAGCGCAUGAUAGAGGGACGUGAUCAAGCCCGCACAAGCAACAAGGUGCGGACCUCACUUUUCAAAAUUAAAUUCAAUAGGGAUAUGAACUCCGAAAUGAAGAAGAUUACGGAGCGGUUGCAAGACAUAUCUGAACGGAAAGAGAAGUUUGGCUUGAAAGAUACUGGGACGUCUGCUAAGGAAUCGCGAAGUCUACCAAGUUCAGAUGUGUUAGAUGAAAAGCUAGUUGUUGGAAGGGAUGGUGACAAAGGGGAGAUUAUUGAAUUGUUGUCAAGAAAAUACGAGCAUGAAGGUGCUGUCAAUUUUGGUGUAGUUGCUAUAGUUGGCAUGCCCGGAGUUGGGAAGAUGACACUUGCUCAACUUGUAUUCAACCACAAAGAUGAUGCCAUGAAGGAGUUUGAGCCUAAGGUGUGGGUAUCUGUGUCUGAUGACUUCAAUGUGGUGCGAGUGACAAAGGCAAUUCUUGAAUCCAUCACAUCCCGACCCGUUCAAAUGGAGGAGUUUAGUAAAAUUCAGCAUGAUUUGUGUGAGCAAUUAAGAGGAAAAAAGUUUUUAAUCGUGUUAGAUGAUAUCUGGAACAAAGGCGACUAUGAUCUACACGAUCUCUGGACAAGACUUAAAUCCCCUUUUGGCGUCGGAGCAGGAGGAAGUAAGAUUAUUGUGACAACCCGUGAUGUGCAUGUUGCAAGGACUAUGGGAGCCACGGGAGUUCAUAAUUUGGAAUGUAUGGCAGAUGAUGAUUGUUUGGAAAUAUUUGAGCGACAUGCAUUUGGGGAAGUUAAUAGUGUAAAACCAGUAAAUUAUGAGUUGAUUCGGACAAAAAUUGUUGAAAAAUGUUGUGGCUUACCAUUAGCUGCGAGGACUCUCGGUGGUCUCUUACUUUGCAAAGAAAAAGAUGAGUGGGGAGAAAUAUUGGACAACAAACUAUGGAAUCUUGCAGAUAACAGUAGCCUUCUCCCCGUACUAAAGUUGAGCUAUCACUAUCUUCCAUCACAUUUGAAGAGGUGUUUUGCCUACUGCUCAAUACUUCCAAAUGACUACGAAUUUUGGGAGAAGCGGCUCGUCCUUUUGUGGAUGGCAGAGGGUUUGAUUCAACAAAAACCUGAUGACAAUAAACAAAUGGAGGAUUUGGGCCGCGACUACUUUCGAGAGCUAUUAGCAAGGUCGCUGUUUCAAGAAUCAAGCAAAACCAAUUCAAGAUAUGUAAUGCAUGACCUCGUUAAUGAUUUAGCACAUUGGGCAGCAGGAGAAAUAUGUUUUAGGUUGGAAGAUAAGCAAGGUGAUAACUUGCAAAGCACUUGCUUUCAAAGGGCUCGCCAUUCGUCUUUCAUUGCUGGUGAAUUUGAUGGAGUUACGAGAUUUGAGGACUUCCCAAAAGCUGAACGCUUGCGAACAUUCCUGCCACUUUCACUUUCAGAUUCUGGUGGAUGGUACAAAUGUUUGUCUCGUAAGGUUACUUUUGAGCUAUUACCACAGUUGCAAUACUUACGAGUGCUCUCGUUCAAUUGCUACACAAUAACUGAGCUGCCAAAGUCAAUCGGUGAUUUGAGGUUGUUACAGUAUCUUGACCUUUCCUACACAGAUAUAACCUGUUUGCCUAAGUCAACAAGCACUCUUUACCACUUGCAAACAUUGAUAUUGGAAGGUUGUUCUAAAUUGAAGUCAUUGCCCACAAACAUGAGUAAUCUAAUUAAUUUGCGCCAUCUCAACAACUCAGGUGCAUAUUCGUUGGAAGGAAUGCCUUGGCAACUAGGUCGAUUGACGAAUCUACAAUCAUUGCCUCUUUUUGUGGUGAGCAAAGGUAGUGAUCAAUCAGGGAUAAGAGAGAUAGGGCCCCUAUUGCAUCUUCGAGGGACACUGUGCCUCUCAAGAUUGGAGAAUGUGACUGAUGUCAAGGAUGCCAGGAGGGCCAACUUGAAAUGCAAGGAGAGGCUUGAUUCGUUGGUCCUAAAAUGGUCUCAUUCAAGCGACACGAGAGAAACGGAAUCCGUUGUGCUUGACAUGUUAGAGCCUCAUACAAAGCUCAAGGAGCUCACCAUCAAGAGUUAUGCCGUAGAGGAAUUUUCAUCAUGGGUUGGAGGUCAUUUGUUCUCUAAUAUGGUGCUUGUGCGGUUAGAGGAAUGUAACAAUUGUUUAUCGGUGCCACCUCUCGGACAAUUGCCUCAUCUCAAAGAACUUUAUAUUAGAGGAAUGAAUGCAGUGGAAAGUGUUGGUGCUGAGUUUUAUGGCGAGUGUAUCUUGCCUUUUCCGCUGUUAGAGAUUCUUGAGUUUGUGGAUAUGUAGCAUUGGAAGGUGUGGCUUCCUUUCCAACUGGAUCACGAAAGUGCUUUUUUCCCUUGCCUGAAAAGGCUUUCAAUCAAACGAUGUUCAAAGUUGGAAGGUGAGCUGCCAGAGAAGCUCGAUUUGUUAGCCGAACUUGAAAUUGUUAAAUGUGAGGAAUUGGUGGUUUCGAUUGCCAACUACAAACAACUUCGUCAAAUAAAAAUUGACGGUUGUAAAGUGUUGGUACAUACAGAUGCUAAGGUUGAGUUUGAGUUAUUAGAGUCCUUGUGGCUUUCAAACAUUUCGGAGGUGACGUCUCUGCAAACAGGGGAAUUGUUCAGGAAGGGAUUAAGCAAGGUUAGAGAUUUGAAGAUCCAUGGAUGUGAGAAGCUGACGUCUUUAUGGAAGAAUGAGGAUGCUAAGGUUGAGUUUGAGUUAUUAGAGUCCUUGUGGCUUUCAAACAUUUCGGAGGUGACGUCUCUGCUAACAGGGGAAUUGUUCAGGAAGGGAUUAAGCAAGGUUAGAGAUUUGAAGAUCCAUGGAUGUGAGAAGUUGACGUCUUUAUGGAAGAAUGAGGCUAGAUUAUUGCAGCGGUUGACUUGUCUUGGCCGUUUGGAAAUUGAAGACAACUCUUGUCUAGUUGAAGAAUUGGGAAAAGAAGCAGAGGAGUUGAUGCAAUUGCAAAUAUUGGAGUGCAAGCUUGAAUUUCUGGAGUUAAACAAGUGCGAAAAUCUUUGGACGCUACCAAAAGGAUUAAAUCAGCUGUCGUCUCUUAAAGAGCUUCGCAUUCACGAAUGUUCACGUCUAGUUUCUUUCCCAGAUGUUGGUCUGCCACCUUCUCUUAAAGACAUUGAGAUUAUAUCGUGCGCUUCGUUGAUAUAUUUUGCAAAAUUCCAGAUUCCCCAAAAUCUAAGAAGAAUAGAUAUAAGAGAUUGCAAAAGUUUGAAAUCACUAGUAGAUGAGGAGGAAUGUGAACGACUGGGUUUAAUAGCACCGAACGGGUUCUUCAGCGACAACACCAAUCACUGCCUUGAAUAUAUUCUGAUCUCGAAUUGCCAAAAUCUGAAAUCCUUACCGGAUGGCUUAUGCCACCUCAGCAAUCUUCAAAAGCUAUAUAUUGAACUAUGUGGAAGUCUUGUUUCCAUCCCGAGACUGAGUGGGGGGAGAAGACCCUCCAACCUGAGAACGAUCUGGAUCAUCGGAUGCGACAAAUUGGAGGCGUUGCCCGAAAACAUGCACAAUCUCAACUCUCUUGAGGAUUUGAGCAUCGACUACCGUGAAGGUUUGACUUUUCCUCCCAACCUAACAUCACUUGAUCUUUGGAAGGUCAAGAGUUGUAAGUCAUUGUGGGAGUUGGAGUGGGGGUUGCACAGACUCACCUCUCUUAGAUACUUGUAUAUCGACAGUGAAGACCCGGAUACGGUGUCGUUUCCACCCGACAUGGUACGGAUGGAGACGCUCUUCCCCAAAUCUCUCACUAACCUCGCAAUAGGUGGCUUCCCGAAUCUAAAGAAACUGAGCAGCAAGGGCUUUCAAUUCCUCACCUCCCUUCAAUCUCUGAAACUCUUCCGUUGUCCAAAGCUAGCAUCUAUUCCAAAGGAGGGUCUGCCUCCUUCGCUAGAGGAACUUUGGAUCGAAGGGUGUCCAGUGCUAAAAGAGAGAUGUCAACCAGGAAAAGGACGCUACUGGCACAAAAUAUCCCACAUCCCUUACAUAAGGAUAGAUUAUAAGAAGAUAUGAAGCUGAUGGUCCAGGUAUCAUCUCUCGAGGAAUGUUUUAAUAUUAAUAUUAUUAUUAUUAAUAUCUCACAUCCCUUUCAUAAGCAUAGAUUGGGAGUUGAUAUGAAGCUGAUGGUCCAGGUAUCAUCUCUCAAGGAAUGUUUUAAUAUUAAUAUUAUUAUUAUUAUUAAUCAUCUUUAUUCUUGUAAAGUAAAGUAAUCCACAUAUUUUGGUUUGGGUCAAGGCUUUGGGGGUUGAGGAGUGGCUACUUUGGGAGGCCUUUCAAUUGGCGUCAACGGGGAUAUUUCUCCGCCAACGUUUCUUCUCCCAGAUUCCUAUAUUUGCUUCUUUCUUUCUUUUUUUUAUUGGUAAACGAUUGCUAUGUUUGCUUGGUCCCUUUUCAUUGAUUUGUAUUAUAACUUUAUAAAUGUGCUACUCUUUCUCCCAGCAAGAUUUUAAUCAGGCCACUUUAAUCUAAUCUUUUAUUUUAUUUUAGCAAAUUUUGACUUAUGAGCUAGUAAUGCAUUUUAUUUAAUGCAUCGAGAAUAAGCAAUCAACAAAGAAAUGGAAAUGUAAAGAGCUCGUUGCUCAAGUGGGUACAAGAGUGAUUUUACCCUUGGCCGUUUGUUAUGCACUUGCUAGAGGCUUGUGGAACGAUGACCACUAAAUGACUUCCUUUACUAUAACUUGUCUUCCUGAAAGUAGAAAAUACGUGCCAACGAAUUUUGGUCAAUCAAAUCCUUAUACCAAGCCUUCAUCACUUGUUCAAAAAAUGCAUUAUUCAUCUAAUUGAUAUGUGAUAAAUUGGUGAUGAUUAUGCAUUUUAACCGAGUUCUAAGGAAAAUUGAAGAUAGUAAUACAUCAGUACUAAAACUACAAAAUAUUACUGAAUUUGUAUACUUAUUACUUGGGUGCCCUCUGCCUUGCUGUGCUGAAUAACAAUGAGAAUAUAUUACUGAAUUCUAGCAGGAAAAAGGCAGGCCACUCUCAAAAUUUGGUGAAUGGGACGUCAAUGAUCCUGCUUCAGCUGAGGGGUUUACUGUGAUCUUUAACAAGGCUAGGGAUGAGAAGAAGACAGGUGGAAAACCGGAGUCACCAGGAAAGGUUGAUCCUAAUAUCAGGCAUGGAGGAGUGGAUACUGGCACUGGCACUGGCAGGCCUUCGUCUGUAAGAUUUUUUCUCAUAACUCUGUCUCAUUUCUUUGUCUAAUGAUUUGAUAAUAUACACAUGAGACAGCCAAUAGCAAUACAUUCUUUACGGUUUUCUUAGUUGCAAGUUAUUGCUUUUCAAGUGACGUCAGUAGUACAACACAGCAUACCAUUUGAUGUGAAAAUCAAUGCAACUGACUUAUAUAGAACUCUAGUAAGGAAAUGUGGCAAAAGACAGAUCUAAUGUUAGGGCCAAGAUAUUUGAAAAAUAAAAGAACACAAGAUGAUUCGGCUGUUUUAUCUGCAUUAUUCCAUGGGAGUGGAAUUGGCAUACGUUAACUUCACUCAGGUUCCAUCUCCUUUUAGACAGAUGUAGCCUAAUAGGAACAUUUGUUUGUUUUAUUGUGAACAAUUGAAAGAACUAUUGGCCCUUGAAAUAUUUGCUCUUGUCAAUUGAUCAUUGUGUGGCCUUUUCGUUUUCUGUGUCUGCUGCAUUUCCAAUUAGUAGAAUAAUAGAACGAAUAACUGGACGGUAAUUAUUUCUGCUGCCAAAAUCUAAUAUGCUUAAAUUCCUCACUCUUUGUGGAUGAUUUGAUUUGGUUUGAUUUCCUGGUGCACAGAAAAAAUGGUUUUGCAGCAUUCAUCAACCACCAGCAGUUUUGUUGACAAUGUUGUUCUCCUAAGUGCUCCGAUGGAGGAGCACGGUGUUCUGUAACUGGCUCCACUAUAUUUCCUCUCUCACUGUAUGUCUAUGAAAUUGGCAGCCGGGUAAGUGAAGUUUGAAGCAAUGGUUAGCAGUUUGCCUAAGGAAAUCGUACAUGAUAUCCUUUUGAGACUACCUCCUAAAGCUUUGAUGAGAUGCACCUCGGUGUCCAAGCCUUGGAACUCCAUGAUAAAAAGUCCCAGCUUUAUUCGCACCAAGGUAUAAAAUAUCAAUGAUAUCGGAAAUGUCGGUAGUCCAAAAACACGGAAAUUUCGAUGGAAAUAUCGGGAUAUUAUCGAUAUCGAUAAAAAUUGAAUAAAAACCAUGGAAAUUGUUAGAAAAACUUGGAAAUUUUUAUUGAAACUUUGCUGGAUGUUUAUUUAGUCAAUUAUCUAUUAGUUUAUUACAAAAAAUUGGAAGGAAAUGCAUUGCAUGAUAGAUAUAACUGAUUUAAAUUGAUUAUAUAGCGAGCUGGCAAACAUGGUGAGUGUAGAAAAUAUGUAGUAAUUAAUGAAAGAAGUUUAAACACACCAUAAUCAUUUAUAUAUAAUGAAUUAGUACAAUAUUUUACACUUUAUACAUUUCAUGGUAAGAUACAUGAGUGACUUAGCAAGGUCUAAAAUAUCGAUGAUAUCGGAAAUAUCGGUAGUCCAAAAAAAUAUCACUAGUCCAAAAACGCGGAAAUUUCGAUGGAAAUAUCGGGAUAUUAUGGAUAUUUUAGACCAUGAUUCGCACCCACCUCAGCCGUACCAUCGAUUUUAAGCAGUUUGGCACCCACCGACUCCUUCUGCAUUGUGUUAGUGGAGACAAUCCAGUGGAGCAGAAUUACUAUUUGCAUUAUGAUAACCAUGCUUUUGAUGAGUACUGCAAGCUAGAGUAUCCAAGUGUUCCCAAGCGCAAGAGAUUUCUUCGUGUGGUCGGAAUGCGAGGAUCCGAAUACUUUUUAUGGGCUUAUUCACUUGCUAGAGGCUUGUGGAGUAGUCCUUGUUCUUUUGAUCCCGUUUGUAAAGUUUUUUAUUCUUGCAAAUUUCAGGCUUUUGUGAACUGGGCAGUUCAUUGGCUGGCAUGGCGCUGCUUGAACGAUGGUCGUUAUCAAAAUUUCAUUUUAGCAAUUGAUGUGGACGGUGAGUUAUUUUGCGAGAUAAGGGUGCUAAAGAGUUUCAGACAGGAUGAACCAUUAGAUUAUCACUUGUCUGUUUCAGGUGAUGGAAACUCCGUUGCUAUGUUCACGACAACGCGUGGUCGUAAUUGUCCUGAGGAUUUUCUUGACAUAUGGGUGAUGAAAGAGUAUGGCAUCGAGGAUUCAUGGGCCAAACUGAUAACUCUAAGUCCACCGGAUCCGGAAAGAAGGGUGCCCUACAAGCCCUUAUGUUUUAGGAACAAUGGUGAAGUAGUGUCCUGACUUUAUCACUUGUUCUAGUAAAAAACGUCGCAUGUACUGGGAUUUUCUCAGGGAUGCCUUGUGAUAUUCUGACAUGGGUAAAUUGUAGCAAUGGUCCCUCAUUUUUUAAUCAAAUUGGAGCAAUGAUUCGUCAACUAAAAUUUCAUUACCAUUGGUCCCUCAAUUUAUGAAAAUGUGUAGCUAUAGUCAUAUUCAUCAAUUUUGUCUAAAUAAGUUAUGUUGGAAUAAUCAUUUAUAUAAUUAGGGUCCCUCAAUUCAUCAAAGUGUGUAAUUAAGGUUCUUUUCGUCAACUACGUCAAAAUUUUUGUCAAAACGAGUUAUGUUGGACGGAUCAUUGCUACAAUUAGGUUAAAGUUAAGGGACUAUUUCUCCAGUUGAAUUAAAGUUGAGGGAUCAAUGGUAAUAGAUUUUUAGUUAAGAGACCAUAGCUGCACAUUUUGAUGAGUUGAGGGACCAAUAAUAAUGAAUUUUUAGUUGAGUGACCAUUGCUCCAAUUGAGUUAAAGUUAAGAGACCAUAGCUACAAUUUACUCUUCUAACAUUGCUGGAUGUUAGCUAGAGAUGAACAUUUUUCCUUUAGUUUGUCUGUUAAUUUAGAGACCUAGAAGAAGUUGCUUAUCACAACAUGUUGCCAAUGUUCAUGGAUAUAUACAGUUAAAUUAAUUUCUUUGAAAUUGCUUGUGAUAUUUUCGUGCCAAAUAGGAAGAGAAGAAAAUUGCAUAUCUUAUUUUUUUAGCUCUAAUAAGAUUUAUCUAGUCACGAGACUUUUACAAUAACUUUUGCUCCUAUGGUCAACCAAAAUAAUAAUAUUACAGUAGAGACUAGUAGUCCAUUAGUAAUUGUGUGUUCAACUGAAAGCAGCGAGAAAAAUACGUACCUUUUUCUCUUCUCUGUUUUCAAAGAAUUUUUUAUCUUCUUCCUCUGCAACCCUUGCAUGCAGGUUUGGCAGUAAAGUAAGUUUCCGCGCAAUUAAAAUAAUGGCAAACUAAUCUUUCGGUUUCGUACGAAGAUAGGAUAAUUUAUACUAAAUUAUUUUUUUGUCUUUUAUUAAAGAAUACAUUUAUAAAAAAAUAAAAAAAGAAGUUUUAAGUGUUUGGGAUCUUUUAAAUACCAAUUUCAAUACAGCUAUUAGUUUAAGUAACAUAAUUUUUAGUUUAGGUGCCAAUGAAAAAAUCAACUAAAAUAAUUCUAUAAAAACUAUUAUAAUUCAAAAUAAUUAUACGAUUGCCGCGUUUUCCGACCUGCCAACUGUAUUCGCAACCACCUCACCCUUACAAUCAAUCUUAAUAACCACGUUUCGACUGACCUCCUUGUACUGCAUUGUAUUCGCAUACACGAGCCAAGGGAGGAGCAUUAGUAUUUGCAUUAUGAUAAAUAACCAUGAUUUUGAUGAGUACUGUAGACUAGAAUUUCCAAUCAUUCCCAAGGGAGAAUGGUUUAAUACGACCUAUAGACUACAAGAACUCAAAUUCCUUUUUUGUUAUCUUCUGUAAACCAUCCAUUAGAGCUCUCGGCAGGCAGUGACCAUUUUUGAGGAAUGACUAGACACAUGUUGGGGCAUCAUCAUGACAUCAUAGGUGAACAAUACGAUUUCGCGUUUAAGUUUCUCUCUAUAUACAUCGUGUUAACUUUGUUUUUCUACUUUCCUAGCACGUUCCGGUUCGUGUAUUUUCAGUUUUUGUAUAGUGGAAAGGUCAAGUUGGUAGUAGAUUGACAUAGCGAAAAAAUUACUUGUCACUAAUUCAGUUUACCAAGCUUAAUUGGUCUCUCUUAACUUACAAAAUUGUCAUAAUAAGCUAGUAGUUUCACUUCAUGGAAAUCUUGCUCAAUGUUGUUUGACUUGUUUCCCUUCUUAAACAUCGAUCGAGAUGUUCGUUAAUUAAAUGCUAAUAAUACUUGCUCUUCACCUUCAAAUGGAUCAUAAGUUAAUAUAGCUCUGUGAUUAAUUAAGUAGUAUGACUCCAAAAUGGUAAAAGCAUAAUCCAUGAUAAUUUUGGUAAAUCUGAUCUCGGCAAGAUCAUGUUCUUCUCUUCUUGUUGUGUGGCUCACGUUGUUUCAGAGUCUUUUACUGUUUAAAAUUAAUUACUAUUCCACCCGAAGUUUCACGUUUGGGUCCUCUUCUUAUAGCGGAAACGAAAAAGUAUAACCGUGUAGGAUAUUUGCGAUAAGAAAGCAAUCAAAAAGAAAACAAUAUGACCCCACGAAAAAUAAAGAGAGAACAAAAACAAGGAAUCUUUCUUUCUUUACGGGCAGAAAGAUGAAGACAUGUUAGUCUUUUAACACGUAUCGCAAUGGCAAAUUGAAGUAGUUAUCGUCGAAAGAGGAAGACUUGUUAUAGUCUUUCAAGUCGACACCUAAUUAUCCUAGCAAAUUGAUCUGUAAAGUAGUCUACAAAAACUCAAAUUCCAUUUAAACUACCUGUUUUAUUAAAGGAAUAUACUAUCCGCAUAUCUAUUUUUACUUAUCAGACACUCUUUUUUACUUCUCACAUCCCCUUUGUUAACUUUUGUCCUUUGAUCUACUUCAAUUCAUCCGAUCCGACACCGAAAAUUAAAAUGAUGUGUGAGAAGUAAAAAAAGGUGUGUGGAUAUCACACCAUUUUACUAAAUCCUAAAUUGUAUAACUCCUUCAAAUAUAUCAAAGGCGAAUAUGGUACCUUCUGUAAACAAUCCGGUAGAGCUCUCAGCAGGCAAUGAUAAUAUUUAGGGAAUGACUAGACACAUGUUGGGACGUUAUCGUGACAUCAUGGGUUAACAAUACAAUUUGUGUUUAAAUUUCUCUUCACUAGCUUAGUUUUUCUACUUUCCUAACAUGUUCGGGUUCGUGCAUUUUCAGCUUUUGGGUAGUGGAAAAGUCAAGUUGCUGGUAGACUAAGUAGUGAACAAGUAGAUUCACACGGCAAUACAUAAGUCAAAAAUUACUCGUCACUAAUUCAGUUCUACCGAGUUUAGUUUGUCUCUCUUAAUCUUCAAACUUACAUAAUAAGCUAGUAAUUUCACUUCAUGAAAAUCUUGCUCAAAGUUGUUUGACUUGUUUCCUUUCUUUAGCAGCUAGACGUUCAAUUAUAUGCUAAUAAAACUUGCUCUUCAUCUUCAAUUGAUCUAAAAUAUAGCUCUGCGACUAAUUAAGUAGUAUGACUACAAGAUGGUUAACAAUAAUCCAUGGUAACCUUUUGCAGGAUCAUUUUCUUCUUCUUUGUGUUGUGUGGCUUAGGCUGUUUGAGUCUUUUACUACUUUAAAUUAAUUUAAGGAAAACUAAUGAAAAUGACUUGAAAACUUUGAGUUUUAACGAAAAUGACAAAAAUGUGUUGUAAAUGAAUAGUAUCAAUAUUGACUUUUUAGAGUAAAAAUGUGAUUUUUUGUUAAAGUAACAGUACCUUGAGUUUUUCUUCGUUAAAGUUUCGUUAAAUUUAUUGUCUCAACAUUAUCUACAAUGGCCUAAAAAAUUAAUCACCCUUUCAAACUAAUAUAAUCGGUAUUGCAAGAAAUGCAACUCAGUUGUUUACCAGCAAUCACCCUUUCACCCUAAAUUGCGUGUUUGGUUCCUCAUCUCCCAAAAUCGUUCGUAUAAAUGAAAAGAAAAUGUAUAACCGUGUAGGACAUAGGAGAUAAGAAAGCAAUUAAAAAGAUAAAAGAGGAAUCUGUCUUUUUUGGCAGAAAGAGGAAGACUUGUUAUAGUCUUUCAACACCUAAUCAUCAUUGCAAUUUGAAGAGCCUCGACUAGAAGAAAAAGACGUCUUAUGUACUCGGAAUUUUCUCCGGGAUGCCUUGUGAUAUUCUGAUAUUGCUGCUAGAAAUAAACAUUUUUCCUUAAGUUUGUCUGCUAAUUUACCGUCCUAGAAAAAGUUGCUUAUCACAACAUGUUGCCAAUGUUCAUGGACAUAUACAGUUAAUGAGUUUCUAUGAAAAUGUUGUCGAUAUUUUCGUGCCAAAUGUUGAGUGCAUCAUCUAUUUGUUGUAGCCUUAAUUUCUAGUUGCCCUCCAACUUUCAACGUUGCUUUGCUUAAUUGCAAACCUUUCAUCUCUUAUUGUGCUUUCUUCUCAAUAUUCUCACACCUCUAUAAGGCGAGAAGCAAAUUACAUAUCUCGGUUUCAAAGCUUUAAUAAGAUUUAUAUCUCUCUCAUUACAAAACUUUUACAAUAAAUUUUCCUCCCAUGGUCUAUCAAAAUAAUAAUAUUUCAGCAGCGACUAUCUAUUAUCAUAAAUUUUGGUGCAUUUGAAAGCAGCGAGAACAAUACAUUUUUAUUUUAUUUUUUCUCAAAUAAAUUUUUUGGUCAUUUUCCUCUGCAACCCUUGAGUUUCAACCCACUUUAUUUAUAAGAGUGAGGAGAACAAAUUUUUAAACCAAAUUUUGUAAAUAAAAUGAUAUGUCACUAAUAAAAAAUAAGUACGUUAAUUAAUACUUGAAUAAUUUGAUCUCUCUAACAUUAUUCUUAAAAUAAUGGUAAACUAAUUUUUUUAUUUAUUUUUACGAAUGAUAGAAUAAUCUAUUAAACUAUUGUGUUUUUUUUCUUUUUGUGAACAAUAAGACAAUAAACUAUUAUUUCGCCUUUUAUUAAAGAGUACUAAAAAAACGAAGUUUUUGAGAUCUUUUAAGUACCAAUUCCAAUAAAACUUUCAGGGUAAGUAACGUGAUUUUUAGUUUACAAAUAUUAAAAAAAACUAAUGAAAAUGACUUGAAAAUUUUGAGUUUUAAUGAAAAAGACAAAAAUGUGUUGUAAGUGAAUAGUACCAGAAUUGACAUUUUAAAGUAAAAAUGUGGUUUUUUGUUAAAGUGAGCAGUACCGAAAGAGUUUCGUUAAAGCUCCCAAAUACUAAUGAAAAAGUUAACCAAAAUAAAUCUACAGAUAUUAGAGCAAGUCCAUCCCUGAAAACUUUGUGCCAGCACCCAGCGUAUUUAUAUCUCCAUCGGCACCCGGAUGCAGUGUUAAAUGAGCAAGGGGGCUAUAGAAACUUCUUUUCGAACGACUCCACUCAAAGUUGUUUGGGAGCAUAUGCUCCUAUCAACUUUACACGGGACACACAAAAGAAGUACUUUGAUCCUAUUAGACGGGGAAGGGUGAAGAAGCUAGGACAGAAGGGUAGAGUUCAAGAGAGCAAAAUGCGUUUAGGAACGUGGAAUAUAGGAACCUUGACGGGAAAAUCUAUGGAAGUAGUAGAAGUUAUGGUGAGGAGAAGGAUAAAUAUUAUGUGCCUACAAGAAACUAAGUGGGUUGGGCGUAAGGCAAAGGAUCUAGAAAACUCAGGGUUUAAACUAUGGUAUUCGGGCACAAAUAGAACGAGAAACGGUGUUGGCAUCAUCGUGGACAAGACCUUGACACAAGAUGUUGUAGAUGUCAAGAGGGUAGGAGAUAGAAUCAUGGCAAUCAAGAUUGUAAUAGGACAAGAACUUAUCAAUGUGAUUAGUGCGUACGCACCUCAAGUAGGGUUGGAUACGAGUUCGAAGGAGAAAUUUUGGGAAGACCUUGGAGACUUGGUGCAAGGAAUUGCUCAGACGGAGAAGUUAUUUAUAGGAGGAGAUUUAAAUGGACACGUGGGCAGGGAGACAGGCAACUAUGGAGGUUUUCAUGGUGGCCAUGGUUUUGGGGAGAGAAACGAGGAUGGGGAAGCUAUCUUGGAUUUUGCAAUGGCAUAUGAUCUCUUCUUAGCCAACACCUUCUUUAAGAAGCGGGAAGAACAUGUGAUCACCUACAAGAGUGGGUCGUCAAAAACACAAAUAGAUUUUCUUCUAAUGAGGAAAAGGGAUCGUAUAACUUGUAAGGAUUGCAAAGUUAUACCAGGAGAGAGCGUGGCUAAUCAACAUCGCUUGUUGGUGAUGGAUGUACAUAUCAAAAGAGUGAGAAAAAAGAACAAGACUUGGAAGUGCCCAAGGACUAGAUGGUGGAAUCUAAAAGAAGAAAAACAAGCAAUUUUCAAAGAGAAAAUAAUCACCCAGUGUGUGUGGGAUAGAGAGGGGGAAGCUAACCAAAUGUGGGAUUCCAUGGCUAGUUGUAUCCGAAAAGUAGCAAAAGAGGUAUUAGGAGAGUCCAAGGGCUUUGCCCCACACCAAAAGGAAUCUUGGUGGUGGAGUGAGGAGGUACAAACAAAGGUGAAGGCUAAGAAGGAAUGUUGUAAAGCCUUAUACAAGGAUAGGACCGAUGAAAAUGGUGAAAGGUAUAGAAAAGCGAAGCAAGAGGUGAAGAAAGCUGUGAGAGAAGCUAAGUUAGCGGCUUAUGACGAUAUGUAUAAACGACUAGAUACCAAAGAAGGAGAGUUGGAUAUCUAUAAACUAGCUAGAGCAAGGGAAAAGAAGACAAGGGACCUAAACCAAGUGAGGUGCAUCAAGGAUGAGGAUGGAAAGGUUCUUGCUACAGAGAACGCGGUUAAAGACAGAUGGAAAGGUUAUUUUCAUAAUCUUUUCAAUGAAGGACAUGAAAGGAGUGCUUCUUUAGGGGAGUUGAGUAACUCAGAAGAGUGUAGAAACUACUCUUUUUAUCGUAGAAUCCGGAAGGAAGAAGUGGUUGUAUCUUUGAAGAAGAUGAAGCAUAGAAAAGCAGUAGGCCCAGACGAUAUACCAAUCGAAGUGUGGAAAGUUUUGGGAGAGACAGGUAUAACAUGGCUCACUGACAUUUUCAAUAGGAUUUUGAAAACGAAGAAGAUGCCAAAUGAGUGGCGAACGAGCACUUUGGUGCCUAUCUACAAGAAUAAGGGCGAUGUACAAAAUUGCAUGAACUAUAGGGGUAUUAAGCUAAUGAGUCAUACAAUGAAGCUCUGGGAGAGAGUCAUUGAGCAUAGAUUGAGGCAAGAGACACGGGUUUCGGACAACCAAUUCGGGUUCAUGCCAGGGGCGCUCAACCAUGGAGGCAAUCUAUCUCUUACGAAGAUUGAUGGAAAGAUAUAGAGAUGGGAAAAAGGAUUUACACAUGGUCUUUAUAGAUUUGGAAAAAGCGUAUGAUAGGGUCCCAAGAGACAUUCUUUGGAGGAUUUUAGAGAAGAAAGGAGUACGAGUAGCAUAUAUCCAAGCUAUACAGGAUAUGUAUGAAGGAGCAAAGACUGCCGUAAGAACUCAUGAAGGACAAACCGAAAGCUUUCCCAUAACUGUAGGAUUACAUCAAGGCUCAUCCUUAAGUCCUUACCUUUUUGCGUUGGUAAUGGAUGAGUUAACAGGACAUAUUCAAGAUGAUAUUCCUUGGUGUAUGCUUUUCGCAGACGAUAUAGUGUUGAUAGAUGAAACUCAAGAAGGGGUAAAUGCAAAGAUUAACCUUUGGAGAGAAGUGUUGGAAUCUAAAGGUCUUCGCCUAAGCCGAUCAAAGACAGAAUAUAUGGAGUGCAAGUUCAGUGCAAAUGGAGGCCAAAAACGAGUUAGGGGUGAGGAUCGGAGAUCAAGAAAUACCAAAGAGCGACCGUUUUCGUUACCUAGGAUCUAUCUUGCAAAAGAACGGAGAAUUAGAUGGAGAUCUCAACCAUAGAAUACAAGCUGGAUGGAUGAAGUGGAAGAGUGCAUCCGGCGUGUUGUGUGACCGCCGUAUGCCACUGAAGCUCAAGGGAAAAUUUUAUAGGACGGCAAUAAGGCCGGCGAUGCUGUAUGGCACAGAAUGUGGGGCGGUGAAGCAUCAACACGUACACAAAAUGGGUGUAGCGGAGAUGAGGAUGCUUCGUUGGAUGUGUGGGCACACGAGAAAGGAUAAGAUUAGGAAUGAGGAUAUCCGGGGUAAAGUAGGAGUAGCCGAAAUUGAAGGAAAGAUGAGAGAAAAUCGGUUACGGUGGUUUGGACAUGUGCAAAGAAGGCCUACUGACGCUCCGAUUAGAAGAUGCGACUAUGGGACAGAGGUUCAGGGCCGAAGGGGUAGAGGAAGACCCAGGAAAACUUUGAGAGAGACCCUAAGAAAAGACGUAGAGUACUUGGAUCUAACGGAGGACAUGACACAGGACAGAACACAAUGGCGUUCUAAGAUUCAUAUAGCCGAUCCCACUCAGUGACUUGGAUUUUUCCAAGUCUCCAACCGAAAAGUUUGUCCUCGCUCGGGAAAUUAAGGGAACACUACCUCAACCUACAUGCUCCACUCACAAAGCUCCAACAUACAAGCUUCAACAAAAGAAAAUUCAAAGAACUUAGCGAAGAAGGCUUUGGUGAUUUAACACAAUACGUUGAAAUGAAGGAAAGCUUAUUUAUUGAUAUCCCCGAUAAAUUACAAAUAUGUACAUAUACUUGAGUCAAAAUAAACAAACAAGAGGAAGCCUUCACAAAGGUUGCUUAGGAGAAGUCUCGGCAGUCGGUAGAGCCCCAGAAAGAGAAGGCACCGGAGGGGGAUCAUUCGGAGCCUCAGUACUGGACAGAACCCUAGAAGGAGGAGGCAUCAGAGGUUGAUCAUUUGGAGCUUCAUUACGCGGUACAGCCCCAGAAGACGAAGGCAAUAAAUGCCUUUGGAACAAACCCACAAAUCUCUGAUGAUCAAGUAAAACCUGACCAUCAGAUUCCUUCAUCUGGUCAAGCUUCCUCUUCAUGUUUGUAGCAUAGUCAUGUGCGAGCCGGUGCAACUGUUUAUUCUCAUGCUUGAGCCCUCUAAUCUCCUGUUUGAGACUCAUCACUUCAGCCGCCAAUGAUUCAACUUGGCGGGUUCGAGCAAAUAGGUGUUGGGCCAUAUUAGACACAGAACCUGCACACUGAACACUAAGAGCCAGAGAAUCCUUAACAGCCAACUCAUCAGACCGUUUGGAAAGUAGUCUGUUAUCUUUGGGAGUGAGAAGGUUCCUGGCCACUACCGCAGCGGUCAUAUCAUUCUUCAUAACGGAAUCCCCAACGGUAAGAGGACCAGUAUGGGAGACGAAGGAUGGGCGCCAUAUGUUGUCUGGAGAAGGUGGGGCUGCCUCUUCAACAAGGUUCAAGUCAAAACGACGGUCGGAGGGGCCAGACAUUUUCAAAGGUGUAGAAGAGAGAAGAGGUCGGACAAAUCAAGAUCUUAGAAGUGCAAGAAUGGAGCUUCUACUGGUGGAUAUUCAAGUGUGCUUUGGAACUUAAUGUCAACCUCUAUAAAAAUCUGCACUCGACGAAGCUUCAGAAAUCGAAGAGGCGUUUGCUUUCUCAAAAGCUGGGCUGCUCAGAGACCACGAGGGUCGAUCUCAGAAAUCGAAGAGGCGUUUGCUUUCUCAAAAGCUGGGCUGCUCAAAGACCACGAAGGCCGAUCUCAGAAAUCGAAGAGGUUUGCUUUCUCAAAAGCUGGGCUACUCAGAGACCACGAGGGCCGAUCUCAGAAAUCGAAGAGGUUUGCUUUCUCAAAAGCUGGGCUGCUCAGAGACCACGAGGGCCGAUCUCAGAAAUCGAAGAGGUUUGCUUUCUCAAAAGCUGGGCUGCUCAGAGACCACGAGGGCCGAUCUCAGAAAUCGAAGAGGCACCUACUUUUCCAACCUUGUCAGCACCUGUCACACGCACACUCAGCUUUGCGGAAAUUAUGGGCAUUCUAUCGAAGAUUUCUGGCGAAGUAGAAAGCACAUGAAUCGUACUGUUCAAUCACCCACUUCCCACACGCAACAGUAGCUCAUGGGUACCACAUAUAACUUUGCCAAAGUUCUCUGACAAAGUUGAGACUACUUUUCCAGCCUUGUCAGCACCUGUCACACGCACACUCAGCUUUGCGGAAAUUAUGGGCAUUCUGUCGAAGAUUUCUGGCGAAGUAGAAAGCACAUGAUUCGUACUGUUCAAUCACCCACUUUCCACAUGCAACAGUAGCUCAUGGGUACCACAUAUAACUUUGCCAAAGUUCUCUGACAAAGUCGAGACAUGUGAAGCUUGCAACUCUCACUACAUCGCUCUGACCAAGAAGGGUAAAAGAAUAGCAAAGAAACAACACUAACAAAGUUUAGACACAUAAAUUUUGAAGGGCUAGCUACCAUAUUAUUACCCACAAGGGUAAAGGAACAGUACCACUGCUGGAUAAUUGGAAAGUCCCUGUGUGUCAACCUCUGUGCUUCAUGGCAAGGUAGACUAGCAAACAUGCCCAACCUUUACUCACAUUCGAAAAAACACUCCCAACAAGAUUGCUUGCCCCAAAAUCGAUGAGGCAUCGCCUCCGAAUCUCGAGAGCCAGACUCCCAACAUGAUUACUUUCUCAAAAAUCGAAGAGAGGGUAAAGGAACAGUACCACUGCUGGAUAAUUUGAAAGUCCCUGUGUAUCAACCUCUGUGCUUCGUGGCAAGGUAGACUAGCAAACAUGCCCAACCUUUACUCACAUUCGAGAAAACACCCCCAACAAGAUUGCUUGCUCCAAAAUCGAAGAGGCACCGCCCUCCGAAUCUCGAGAGCCAGACUCCUAACAUGAUUACUUUCUCAAAAAUCGAAGAGAGGGUAAAGGAACAGUACCACUGCUGGAUAAUUGGAAAGUCCCUGUGUGUCAACCUCUGUGCUUCGUGGCAAGGUAGACUAGCAAACAUGCCCAACCUUUACUCAUAUUCGAGAAAACACUCCCAACAAGAUUGCUUGCUCCAAAAUCGAAGAGGCACAGCCCUCCGAAUCUCAAGAGCCAGACUCCCAACAUGAUUACUUUCUCAAAAAUUGAAGACACCGCUCUCCGAAUCUCGAGAGCCAGACCCCCAGCAUGAUUGCUUUCUCAAAAAUCGAAGAGGCAUCGUUCUCCGAAUCUCGAGAGCCAGAUCCCCGACAGGAUUGCUUGUUCGAAAACCGAAGAGGCACCACUUUCCCAACUUCAAGAGCCGGAUCUCCUUGGAUAAAGCUUGUCUGUAAUCUUCACACGCAACAUCAGCUUUCCAGAUACCACAGACCACUUUUUCAAAGUGCUCUAACAGAGUUAAAACUUGUGAAGCUGGCAGCUCCCACUACCGUGCUAUGACCAAGGAGGGUAAAGGAAUAGCAUUAUUACUUGAUGUUAGGGAGACUCCUAUAUAUGUCGACCUCCAUCCCCAACGAACAGGCAGACCUGCAAAAAUGCUCAACCCUUCCUCUUAUCUGAGAGGGCACUCCCAACGAAGCCUUUCGAAAUAUUCAGCUUUCUUUCCCCCCGAUAAUACCUCUGUAAACAAGCUAUACUAGAGCAAGAAUAUCUCAUAUCAUCAGGGUUAAAAGCAAGAGUAUCCCAUAUCAUGCUUUUUCCCUGUCUUUUCCUUUGGCCUUGUUCUUACUUGCAAGACAAGGAGAAAAGAGAGCAAUCAGUCAGCACUUGGAAUCAAGCUUCCAGCCAGGAACUGACUGCCUGGAACCCCUUACCCUGGCAUUGCUCUCGAGUACUCAUCUUCAACAUCUUAUGCUUCCAGGGAAGAUACCGCAUCUGCCUGAGGAACAGAUAGGGCAAGUGAGAAGGAUACAAGGAAGCAUGUGGAGACAAGCGUAACAGCACACGUGCCGAUACAUCCACUACUCUGUCAAAAGCAAAAGUAUCCCAUAUCAGCAGGGUCGAACGUACUCUAGAUUUGAUGGACUUGUUUUGACCCUCAAAUUCUUCAGUCGGCCUUAUACUUUGGAGGAAACCAUAAAACCCUCCAGCCCAGUUCAAGAAUAAGCCUGUGGAAAGUUACUUCUUCAAAAGCAAAAGUAUCCCAUAUCAUCUCUUCUCAUUUUUCUUCUCUUUAUCCUUCAUGCUGCCUGCAAGAUAGGGAGAAUGUGAACAAUCAGCCGGAGCUCUGAUUGUUUACCUUGUCUGUUACCUCUUUCAGCAGAUCCCCUAGCUCGGCGACUUGGGGGACUCCUACUACAUGGUUUGUAUCGCGCUUGACCAAGCCUGAAACUACAAGUAAGCUUCAAGUGACAUUGAUACAUUACCUUGUGCAUCUCCACCAGUUACAGAUACCACCCCUGGAUGGAGGAAGAGUACUUCCAGAGAAGAUUCCACAUCUACCUAUGAGACAGAUAAGGAAAGUCAAGACGAUACCACACUCCGGUACUUAGAAGUUUCGUGGUUACGAGAUCAUUCUCCCACAAUAUUUCCUAAUGUCAUUUGUACUAAAUCAUUCACUUGUACUCCCUAAAGGAGAGCUUGAACCUAUGUACUUGUGUAAACCCUUCACAAUUAAUGAGAACUCCUCUAUUCCGUGGACGUAGCCAAUCUGGGUGAACCACGUACAUCUUGUGUUUGCUUUCCUAUCUCUAUCCAUUUAUAUACUUAUCCACACUAAUGACCGGACCAAUCUAGCGAAGAUCACAAAAAGUGACCGUUUUCGCUACCUAGGAUCUAUCUUGCAAGAGAACGGAGAAUUAGAUGGAGAUCUCAACCAUAAAAUACAAGCUGGAUGGAUGAAGUGUAAGAGUGUAUCCGGCGUGUUGUGUGAUCGUCGUAGGCCACUGAAGCUCAAGGGAAAAUUUUAUAGGACGGCAAUAAGGCCAACGAUGUUGUAUGGCACAGAAUGUUGGGCGGUGAAGCAUCAACACGUACACAAAAUGGGUGUAGCGGAGAUGAGGAUGCUUCGUGGGAUGUAUGGGCACACGAGAAAGGAUAAGAAUGGGAAUGAGGAUAUCCAAGGUAAAGUAGGAGUAGCCAAAAUUGAAGGAAAUAUGAGAGAAAAUCGGUUCCGGUGGUUUGGACAUGUGCAAAGAAGGCCUACUGACGCUCCGGUUCGAAAAUGUGACUACGGGACAGAAGUUCAGGGCCGAAGGGGUAGAGGAAGACCUAGGAAAACUUUGGAAGAGACCCUAAGAAAAGACUUGAUUACUUGGAUCUAACGGAGGACAUGACACAAAACCGAGCGCAAUGGCGUUCUAAGAUUCAUAUAGCCGACCCCACUUAGUGGGAAAAGGCUUUGUUGUUGUUGCUUCCUUUCCCUUUCCGGUCCUUUCUUUAUCAUUUAUUUUUUCUGCUUUCUUCUUUCUUCCUUUCCCUCACCAUGUCGGUACCCAGGCUUCAACCUUCACUGCACGAUCGCACGACCUCGACACCCAGGGCUUCAACCUUCACCGCACGAUCGCACGACCUCCGACCAAGACCUCGACACCCAGGGCUUCAACCUUCACCGCACGAUCGCGGAGCUCAACCUGGACCACCUCAACAAGGUGUUCAUGGCCGUCGGGUUUCUGAAGACAUGAAGACGAAGUGGCCGGUGGCGUUCACGAUCGUGCGAUCGCGGAGCUCAACACGGACUCGCUACUGUGAAUGGAGUACAUGAAGACGAACCGGCCGGUGGCGUUCACAAGGUCGACGGGAGACGGCCUCCAGUUCAAACUUCCUUCGGACGCCAUGCUGGCGUCACCAUGGCAUCAGAUAGGCCGGUCCCAAGGUCUGUCGAUUUUAGGCCGGCCUGUGGACUGGCAUGGGCUGGGUGCCAGUCAAUUGGGUCGGCUAGAGCAAAUUCACUGGGUCCUGGCCUAUUUUUUCGGCUGGGUGCUGGGCAAAAAGUCCUCCAGUGGACUUGCUCUUACUAUAUAGAAUUCAAAAUAAUUAUACGAUUGCCAUUUUUUGUUUACCGGUCAACUGUAUUCCCAACGACCUUACCCGCACAAUCAAUCUUGAUAACCAGGUUUCCACUAACCUCCUUGUACUCGAUUGUGUUCGCAUGCAUGAGCCAAGGUAGGUGCAUUACUAUUUGCAUUCUGAUAAACAACAAUGAUUUUUUAUGAAUAUUGCAGACUAGAAUUUCCAAUCAUUCCCAAGGGAGAACGGUUCAAUCAUAACAUCAUGGGCUAAGAAUACAAUUUCAUGUUUAAGUUUUUCUCCACAUACAUCACGUUAACUUGGUGUUUUUUACUUUCCUAGCAUGUUCCCUUCUGUGCAUUUUCAGCUUUUAAAUAGUGACUUAUUAGUGAAAAAGCAGAUUCACAUGACGAAGACAUAAGUAUAAAAUUACUUGUCACUAAUUCAGUCAUCAAGCUUAAGUCAUCUAUUUUAAUCUUCAAAAUUAACACAAUAAGCUAGAAAAUUCAGUUCAUGAAAAUCUUGCUCAAUGUUGUUUGACUUGUUUCCUUUCUUAAACGUUUAGAUGCUCAUUAAUUAUAUGCUAAUAAAACUUGCUCUUCAUCUUCAAAUGGAUCAUAAUCCAAUAUAGCUCUGUUACCAAUUAACUAGCAUAACUACAAGUCUACAAGACAACUUUGGUAAAUCCGGUGCCGGCAGGAUCAUUUUCUUCUUCUUUGUGUUGUGUGGCUCAGGUUUUUUUUCAGUCUUUUACAAUUUUAAAUUGAUUGUCUCUACAUUAUCUACCAUGACCUACGAACAAUUGAAACAAUCACCCUCCCAAAAUAAUAUGAUCGGUGUUGCAAGGGAUUGUAGCUUAGUUGUUUACAAGCAGAUAUUUUUUUAUUUUUUUUAGUACAUCUUCUUUAUGUUAAGGAAGAGAAGAAGUUUGGCUAAGCCACACAAUGAAUAGCCUAAUUUGAUAUCAAAUUCGUCAUCUACAAUAUUCGAACCUAAGGCCUCUACUUAUAAGUGAGGAGGAAUAUCAUUAGAUCGUAGUACUAGGUGUUGCAAUUAGUCAUUUUUUUGUUGAGAAUAAAUCUCAUAUUAAUGAAAUGAGAGACUUUGUAUGUGCUUAUAAUAAGUAGUUGAGGUACUCUCCCUAUUGUCAAAUUUUUUUUGGUGGAACUUCAACAUUUUUCAUGCUAUCAAAACAAGUUGUCUCAUGUAUGACACAUAAUGGCUUUACGUGAUCCAUAUCUUUCGAGUUGUAUUAUUCACAUGUUAAACUUAAAAUUCGUCAUACGUAACGGAACAUAUUAAGAAUGAAUCUCAUAUUAAAAAAAAAAAAAAGACUUUGAAAUCUCAAGUUUAUUCUAUUUCCAUCCAAAGUUCUAUAUUUGAUUUCCCAUCUCCAAAAUCGUUCCUAUAAAGAAAAAGAAAAAGUAUAACGUACGUGUAGGGCUUUGGAGAUAAGAAAUCAAAUAAAAAGACAACAAUAUGACCCCACGAAAAGUACAGAGGGAAAAGAGGAGUCCUUCUUUGUGGGCAGAAAGGUGCAGACUUGUUAUAAGUCUUUCAACACCUAAUUAUCAAAAGCAAAUUGCAGAGUUCGAGAGUAGUCUGGAUCUGUUGAUUUUUAUAAUCUAUGGAAACAAGUCCCUUCAUCUGAAAACUUGUACGCAGUAAGUUCCUCUUGCAACUAUAUAUGCGAAAUUCAUUAUUUAUUAAUGAAUUAUUUCAUUUUUCUUGAAGUUUGUAUAUUUAAUUAAAGAUUUCAUCAAUAACCAGCUAUAUAAUUUGUGCUGUUUUCAGCCUUGAUUAUUCCAUCAUUCGGUCUGGAUUUGUUGACGAUAAGUGCAAACAAGUGCCCUCAUGACCUGACAGGCUUCCAUGUAACUGCUGCUUGCUUCAGAUCAUGCCCAAUAUUUGUGCAACGGUGCAAGUUUCGAGUCUUGAAGCGUAGGGUUGCAAGAAUUCCCCCCUGCAGUUACGGGUAAUCCCAAAACUGCCCAUUUUUUGUCCAGUUCAAAUUUAAGAAAAAUAAUGUUUACUAGUAUAUGAUUUUUGCAAGCUUGAGUUUUUCUUUUUGCUCGUCUUUUAAAUUUAUAUGGUGUGUUUUAUUGUGCUUUAUUAUUUAUUGUGUUUUAUGUCAUCUCAAAUGACAAGUGAAUCAAAUGUACACAAUUAACAAUUAAUGGGAUAAAUUUAUUAAUUGAUGUGACAUAUCACAUCAAAUUGUACAUAAAUAUGGUACAAACAUAUGUGAUUCCCUUAACAUUUUCGGAUUUUCCUAGUAAUAUUAUAUGGCGUGUUAUUGUGCUUUAUACAUACAAUAUCAAGUUUUUUUUUUUUUUUUUUUUUUGCUUUUUAUUGGAACAUACAAUAUCAAGUUAUUAGGGACUGUAUACCUGGUGGUGGGAAGGUUAUGAUGUAGGCAACCUUGAUCUGAAUCCGGCCCGUUGCCAUCCUUUGCUAUUCCCAAAUUGUUAUCUCUAGAUAUGCUUACUAGGAGUCUCCAUUAAUUGAAUAUUAUUUCAAUUUUACUAUAAAUUUAUAUAGGUAAAUGCUAGGGACAUUAAAUUACUUUAGUCUAAAGUAAGGUUUGAAAUUGGCACUAUUUAAAUGAACAGUGUUUCAAUCCGAAUUUCAGAUUAAUUACAACCAUGCCAUUGGUCUUUGUGUUGGUUUUGGGUCAGCAGCCAGGCCCUCAGCCAUGCCCAAAUGUGUUGGUUUUAGCUGGGAAGCCCCGCCCUCAGUGAGGCCCAAAUUGUUAAUUACAAUUUUGCCCAUCUAAGAUUACAAUCCAAUGGUGGAGAUGGUGUAUUAAGAAGGGCAAUUUUGUCCUCUCCGUUUUGGGCGAGAUAGGGGGUCAUCGGGUAGGUAUCAUUUGCUGUCGUUCAAUUAGGGUUUCAGGGAGGGUCUGAGAGAGAGAGAGAGAGACAGAGAGAGAUGGCGAUGGGAGGAGAGCGAGGGGGAGGGGUAGGGCUCUCGGCACUGUUGUUGCGGAUGGGAGGGUCGGUAUGGUCAGAGAAGACCAUAUGGGUCGUCGGGAUUUCAGGGAGACGGGGUAGGGGUCAUCAACAAACCCUAUUGAGAGUGGGGUGUGCUGGAUCUUGCGCUGCAUGCCUCGAAUCCAAAGAUAAGUUCUUUUUAAAAUUGUAUUCUUUAAUGGUGCCUUAGAUUUUCUAAUUGUUUAGUAUGUUAGGUCCGGUUUUGGGGGAUUUGUGAUUUUACAGAGAGAGAUGGAUAGGGAGAUAGAGAUAGAGAGAGAGAGGAGAUAGCAUGGGUGUGUGCAUUUUUUUGAGUUAAUUAAUGGGUUAGUGCGCAUGUCAGUGAGGAGAGUGACAGAGGGGUGAAUGGCAUUGGCAGGGUAUGGGUUUUCAGUUUUUCCCUCUGAUUCAAUAGGUUAUGCACUGUUUGAAAAUAAAUUGUUUAUUGUUUUGUUUUCCGUUUGCUUUGUUAAAACCAUCAUUCGAAUUUUUCGGUUUCACUGUGCUCAUUUCUGUGCUUCUUCAAAAUUUUCUGGUGUUUGCUUUUCAUUCCUAUGUUGGUUGAUUUUUUUUUUUUCCCAUUUCUUGGUUCCUUAUGUAUUUCUUGGUUCUGUCUAAUUUUUUGCUGUGGGAUGAUGCUUGCAGGUGAACCUGAAAACAGCAUACAAGAUAGAGAACUGGUAUGCUAUUUUGUCUUUCUGUUGGAUUUUGAUGUUUAUGUUCUGCUACUAAGAGGAUUUUAUAGUGUUCUAAAUCUGUUUUGUAAAUGUGCUUAAAGAUUGGACAUGUUCUUGAAUGUUAGCCAUGUUGUUUGAAUUGGAUAUGUGAUUGAAUAUUAGGUAUUUAGUUUGAAUUGAUCUGGAUAUGUGGUUUAUUGAACUAGAAUUUGGAUAUGUGCUGAUUUGAAUUGAGUAUGUUGAAUUAGAGAUGUGCUACUUUGAAUUAAGUUGAAAAAUGGCAAGCCAUGGUAUAUUGAAUGUUUUUUUUUGCCCCAAAUUUACAUAAGUCCCAAAGGGUGAAUGUCGUCCCAAAACUUUACAACAACAACAACAACAAAGCCUUUUCCCACUAAGUGGGGUCGGCUAUAUGAAUCCUAGAACGCCAUUGCGCUCGGUUUUGUAUCAUGUCCUCCGUUAGAUCCAAGUACUCUAAGUCUUUUCUUAGAGUCUCUUCCAAAGUUGUCCUAGGUCUUCCUCUACCCCUUCGGCCUUGAACCUCUGUCCCGUAGUUACAUCUUCGAACCGGAGCGUCAGUCGGCCUUCUUUGCACAUGUUCAAAAUCACCGGAGCCGAUUUUCUCUCAUAUUUCCUACAAUUUCGGCUACUCCUACUUUACCUCAGAUAUCCUAAUUCCCAAUCUUAUCCUUUCUCGUGUGCCCACACAUCCCACGAAGCAUCCUCAUCUCCGCUACACCCAUUUUGUGUACGUGUUGAUGCUUCACCACCCAACAUUCUGUGCCAUACAACAUCGCUAGCCUUAUUGCCGUCCUAUAAAAUUUUCCCUUGAGCUUCAGUGGCCUACGACGGUCACACAACACGCCGGAUGCACUCUUUCCAUCCAGCUCGUAUUCUAUGGUUGAGAUCUCCAUCUAAUUCUCCGUUCUCUUGCAAGAUAGAUCCUAGGUAGCGAAAACGAUCGCUUUUUGUGAUCUUCGCUAGAUUGCUCCGGUCAUUAGUGUGGAUAAGUAUAUAAAUGGAUAGAGAUAGGAAAGCAAAUACAAGAUGUACGUGGUUCACCCAGAUUGGCUACGUCCACGGAAUAGAAGAGUUCUCAUUAAUUGUGAAGGGUUUACACAAGUACAUAGGUUCAAGCUCUCAUUUAGUGAGUACAAGUGAAUGAUUUAGUACAAAUGACAUUAGGAAAUAUUGUGGGAGAAUGAUCUCGUAAUCACGAAACUUCUAAGUAUCGGAGUGUGGUGUCGUCUUGCCUUACCUUAUCUGUCUCAUAGGUAGAUGUGGCAUCUUCUCUGGAAGUACUCUUCCUCCAUCCAGGGGUGGUAUCUUUAACUGGUGGAGAUGCACAAGGUAAUGUAUCAAUUUCACUUGAAGCUUACUUGUAGUUUCAGGCUUGGUCAAGCGCGAUACAAACCAUGUAGUAGGAGUCCCCCAAGUCGCCGAGCUAGGGGGUCUGCUGAAAGAGGUGACAAACAAGGUAAGCAAUCAGAGCUCCGACUGAUUGUUCACCUUCUCCCCAUCUUGCAGCAGCAUGAAGGAUAAAGAGAAGAAAAAUGAGAAGAGAUGAUAUGAGAUACUUUUGCUUUUGAAGAAGUAACUUUCCACAGGCUUAUUCUUGAACUGAGCUGGAGGGUUUUCUGGUUUCCUCCAGAGUAUAAGGCCGACUGAAGAAUUUGAGGGUCAAAACAAGUCCAUCAAAUCUAGAGUACGUUCCACCCUGCUGAUAUGGGAUACUUUUGCUUUUGACAGAGUAAUGAAUGUAUCGGCACGUGUGCUGUUACGCUUGUCUCCACAUGCUUCCUUGUAUCCUUCGCACUUGCCCUAUCUGUUCCUCAAGCAGAUGCGGAAUCUUCCCUGGAAACAUAAGAUGUCGAAGAUGAGUACUCGAGAGCAAUGCCAGGUAAGUAAUCAGGUAAGGGGUUCCAGGCAGUCAGUUCCUGGCUGGAAGCUUGAUUCCAAGUGCUGACUGAUUGCUCUCUUUCUCCUUGUCUUGCAGGUAAAAACAAGGCCAAAAGAAAAGACAGGGAAAAAGCAUGAUAUGGGAUACUCUUGCUUUUAACCCUGAUGAUAUGAGAUAUUCUUGCUCUAGUAUAGCUUGUUUGCAGAGGUAUUAUCGGGGGGAAAGAAAGCUGAAUAUUUCGAAAUGCUUCGUUGGGAGUGCCUUCUCAGAUAUGAUGAAGGGUUGAGCAUUUUUGCAGGUCUGCCUGUCCGUUGGGGAUGGAGGUCGACAUAUAUAGGAGUCUCCCUAAAAACAAGUAGUAAUGCUAUUCCUUUACCCUGCUUGGUCAUAGCACGGUAGUGGGAGCUGCCAGUUUCACAUGUUUUAACUCUGUCAGAGCACUUUGAAAAAGUGGUCUGUGGUAUCUGGCUCUCGAGAUUCGGAGAACGAUGCCUCUUCGAUUUUUGAGAAAGCAAUCAUGCUGGGGGUAUGACUCUCGAGAUUCGGAGAGCAGUGUCUCUUCGAUUUUUGAGGAAGUAAUCAUGUUGGGAGUCUGGCUCUCGAGAUUCGGAGGGCGAUGCCUCUUCGAUUUUGGAGCAAGCAAUCUUGUUGGGAGUGUUGUCUCGAAUGUGAGUAAAGGUUGGGCAUGUUUGCUAGUCUACCUUGCCACGAAGCACAAAGGUUGACACACAGGGACUUUCCAAUUAUCCAGCAAUGGUACUGUUCCUUUACCCUCUCUUCGAUUUUGAGAAAGUAGUCAUGUUGGGAGUCUGGCUCUCGAGAUUCGGAGGACGGUGCCUCUUCGAUUUUGGAGCAAGCAAUCUUAUUGGGAGUGUUUUCUCGAAUGUGAGUAAAGGUUGGGCAUGUUUGCUAGUCUACCUUGCCACGAAGCACAGAGGUUGACACACAGGGACUUUCCAAUUAUCCAGCAGUGGUACUGUUCCUUUACAGUUGUGGGUAAUAAUAUGGUAGCUAGACCUUCAAAAUUUAUGUGUCUAAACUUUUGUUAGUGCUGUUUCUUUGCUAUUCUUUUACCUUUCUUGGUCAGAGCGAUGUAGUGGGAGCUGCAAGCUUCACGUGCUCAACUUUGGCAGAGAACUUUGGCAAAGUUAUUUGUGGUACCCAUGAGCUAUUGUUGCGUGUGGGAAGUGGAUGAUUGAACAGUAAGAUUCAUGUGCUUUCUACUUCACCAGAAGUCUUCGACAGAAUGCCCAUAAUUUCUGCAAAGCUGAGUGUGCGUGUGACAGGUGCUGACAAGGGUAGAAAAGUAGGUGCCUCUUCGAUUUCUGAGAUUGGCCCUCGUGGUCUCUGAGCAGCCCAGCUUUUGAGAAAGCGAGCGCCUCUUCGAUUGAUUCGGAGAACGAUGCCUCAUCGAUUUUUGAGAAAGCAAUCAUGCUGGGGGUCUGGCUCUCGAGAUUCGGGGAGCAGUGUCUCUUCGAUUUUUGAGAAAGUAAUCAUGUUGGGAGUCUGGCUCUCGAGAUUCGGAGGGCGGUGUCUCUUCGAUUUUGGAGCAAGCAAUCUUGUUGGGAGUGUUUUCUCGAAUGUGAGUAAAGGUUGGGCAUGUUUGCUAGUCUACCUUGCCACGAAGCACAGAGGUUGACACACAGGGACUUUCCAAUUAUCCAGCAAUGGUACUGUUCCUUUACCCUCUCUUCGAUUUUUAAGAAAGUAGUCAUGUUGGGAGUCUGGCUCUCGAGAUUCGGAGGACGGUGCCUCUUCGAUUUUGGAGCAAGCAAUCUUAUUGGGAGUGUUUUCUCGAAUGUGAGUAAAGGUUGGGCAUGUUUGAUAGUCUACCUUGCCACGAAGCACAGAGGUUGACACACAGGGACUUUCCAAUUAUCCAGCAGUGGUACUGUUCCUUUACCCUUGUGGGUAAUAAUAUGGUAGCUAGACCUUCAAAAUUUAUGGGUCUAAACUUUGUUAGUGCUGUUUCUUUGCUAUUCUUUUACCCUUCUUGGUCAGAGCGAUGUAGUGGGAGCUGCAAGCUUCACGUGCUCAACUUUGGCAGAGAACUUUGGCAAAGUUAUCUGUGGUACCCAUGAGCUAUUGUUGCGUGUGGGAAGUGGGUGAUUGAACAGUAAGAUUCAUGUGUUUUCUACUUCCCCAGAAGUCUUUGACAGAAUGCCUAUAAUUUCCGCAAAACUGAGUGUGCGUGUGACAGGUGCUGACAAGGCUGGAAAAGGCUGGAAAAGUAGGUGCCUCUUCGAUUUCUGAGAUCGGCCCUCGUGGUCUCUGGGGAGCCCAGCUUUUAAGAAAGCGAGCGUAUCUUCGAUUUUUGAGAUCGGCCAUCGUGGUCUUUGAGCAGCCCAACUUUUGAGAAAGCAAACGCCUCUUCGAUUUCUGAGAUCAACCCUCGUGAUCUCUAAGCAGCCCAGCUUUUGAGAAAGCAAACGCCUCUUCGAUUUCUGAGCAGGCGCCUCUUCGAUUUCUGAAGCUUCGUCGAGUGCAGAUUUUUAUAGGGGCUGGCAUUAAGUUCCAAAGCACACUUGAAUCUCCACCAGUAGAAGCUUCAUUCUUGCACUUCUAAGAUCUUGAUUUUUCCGACCUCUUCUCUCUUCAACACCUUUGAAAAUGUCUGGCCCCUCCGACCGUCGUUUUGACUUGAACCUUGUUGAAGAGGCAGCCCCGCCUUCUCCAGACAACAUAUGGCGCCCAUCCUUCGUUUCCCCUACUGGUCCUCUUACCGUUGGGGAUUCCGUGAUGAAGAAUGAUAUGACCGCUGCGGUGGUGGCCAGGAACCUUCUCACUCCCAAAGAUAACAGACUACUUUCCAAACGGUCUGAUGAGUUAGCUGUUAAGGAUUCGCUGGCUCUCAGUGUUCAGUGUGCAGGUUCUGUGUCUAAUAUGGCCCAACACCUAUUUGCUCGAACCCGCCAAGUUGAAUCAUUGGCGGCUGAAGUGAUGAGUCUCAAACAGGAGAUUAGAGGGCUCAAGCAUGAGAAUAAACAGUUGCACCGGCUCGCACAUGACUAUGCUACAAACAUGAAGAGGAAGCUUGACCAGAUGAAGGAAACUGAUGGUCAGGUUUUACUUGAUCAUCAGAGAUUUGUGGGUUUGUUCCAAAGGCAUUUAUUGCCUUCGUCUUCUGGGGCUGUACCGCGUAAUGAAGCUCCAAAUGAUCAACCUCUGAUGCCUCCUCCUUCUAGGGUUCUGUCCAGUACUGAGGCUCCAAAUGAUCCCCCCCUCCGGUGCCUUCUCUUUCUGGGGCUCUACCUGACUGCUGAGACUUCUCCUAAGCAACCUUUGUGAAGGCUCCCUCUUGUGUGCUUAUUUUGACUCAUGUAUAUGUACAUAUUUGUAGCUUAUCGGGGAUAUCAAUAAAUAAGCUUUCCUUCAUUUCAACGUAUUGUGUUAAAUACACACCAAAGCCUUCUUCGCUAAGUUCUUUGAAUUUUCUUUUGUUAAAGCUUGUAUGUUGAAGCUUUCUGAGUGGAGCAUGUAGGUUGGGGUAGUGUUCCCUUAAUUUCCCGAGUGAGGAAAACUUCUCGGUUGGAGACUUGGAAAAUCCAAGUCACUGAGUGGGAUCGGCUAUAUGAAUCUUAGAACGCCAUUGUGCUCGAUCCUGUGUCAUGUCCUUCGUUAGAUCCAAGUACUCUAAGUCUUUUCUUAGAGUCUCUUCCAAAGUUUUCCUAGGUCUUCCUCUACCCCUUCGGCCCUGAACCUCUGUCCCAUAGUCGCAUCUUCUAAUCGGAACGUCAGUAGGCCUUCUUUGCACAUGUCCAAACCACCGUAACCGAUUUUCUCUCAUCUUUCCUUCAAUUUCGGCUACUCCUACUUUACCCCGGAUAUCCUCAUUCCUAAUCUUAUCCUUUCUCGUGUGCCCACACAUCCAACGAAGCAUCCUCAUCUCCGCUACACCCAUUUUGUGUACGUGUUGAUGUUUCACCGCCCAACAUUCUGUGCCAUACAGCAUCGCCGGCCUUAUUGCCGUCCUAUAAAAUUUUCCCUUGAGCUUCAAUGGCAUACGGCGGUCACACAACACGCCGGAUGCACUCUUCCACUUCAUCCAUCCAGCUUGUAUUCUAUGGUUAAGAUCUCCAUCUAAUUCUCCGUUCUUUUGCAAGAUAGAUCCUAGGUAACGAAAACGGUCACUCUUUGGUAUUUCUUGAUCUCCGAUCCUCACCCCUAACUCGUUUUGGCCUCCAUUUGCACUGAACUUGCACUCCAUAUAUUCUGUCUUUGAUCGGCUUAGGCGAAGACCUUUAGAUUCCAACACUUCUCUCCAAAGGUUAAGCUUUGCAUUUACCCCUUCCUGAGUUUCAUCUAUCAACACUAUAUCGUCUGCGAAAAGCAUACACCAAGGAAUAUCAUCUUGAAUAUGUCCUGUUAACUUAUCCAUUACCAACGCAAAAAGGUAAGGACUUAAGGAUGAGCCUUGAUGUAAUCCUACAGUUAUGGGAAAGCUUUCGGUUUGUCCUUCAUGAGUUCUUACGGCAGUCUUUGCUCCUUCAUACAUAUCCUUUAUAGCUUGGAUAUAUGCUACUCGUACUCCUUUCUUCUCUAAAAUCCUCCAAAGAAUGUCUCUUGGGACCCUAUCAUACGCUUUUUCCAAAUCUAUAAAGACCAUGUGUAAAUCCUUUUUCCCAUCUCUAUAUCUUUCCAUCAAUCUUCGUAAGAGAUAGAUUACCUCCAUGGUUGAGCGCCCUGGCAUGAACCCGAAUUGGUUGUCCGAAACCCGUGUCUCUUGCCUCAAUCUAUGCUCAAUGACUCUCUCCCAGAGCUUCAUUGUAUGACUCAUUAGCUUAAAUACCCCUAUAGUUCAUGCAAUUUUGUACGUCGCCCUUAUUCUUGUAGAUAGGCACCAAAGUGCUCAUUCGCCACUCAUUUGGCAUCUUCUUCGUUUUCAAAAUCCUAUUGAAAAGGUCAGUGAGCCAUGUUUAUACCUGUCUCUCCCAAAAGUUUCCACACUUCGAUUGGUAUAUCGUCUGGGCCUAUUGCUUUUUUAUGCUUCAUCUUCUUCAAAGCUACAACCACUUCUUCCUUUCGGAUUCGACGAUAAAAAGAGUAGUUUCUACACUCUUCUGAGUUACUCAACUCCCCUAAAGAAGCACUCAUUUCAUGUCCUUCAUUGAAAAGAUUAUGAAAAUAACCUCUCCAUCUGUCUUUAACCGCGUUCUCUGUAGCAAGAACAUUUCCAUCCUCAUCCUUGAUGCACCUCACUUGGUUUAGGUCCCUUGUCUUCUUUUCCCUUGCUCUAGAUAGUUUAUAGAUAUCCAACUCUCCUUCUUUGGUAUCUAGUCGUUUAUACAUAUCGUCGUAAGCUGCUAACUUAGCUUCUCUGACAGCUUUCUUCGCCUCUUGCUUCGCUUUUCUAUACCUUUCACCAUUUUCAUCAGUCCUCUCCUUGUAUAAGGCUUUACAACAUUCCUUCUUAGCCUUCACCUUUGUUUGUACCUCCUCAUUCCACCACCAAGAUUCCUUUUGGUGUGGGGCAAAGCCCUUGGACUCUCCUAAUACCUCUUUUGCUACUUUUCGGAUACAACUAGCCAUGGAAUCCCACAUUUGGCUAGCUUCCCCCUCUCUAUCCCACACACAUUGGGUGAUUACCUUCUCUUUGAAAAUGGCUUGUUUUUCUUCUUUUAGAUUCCACCAUCUAGUCCUUGGGCACUUCCAAGUCUUGUUCUUUUGUCUUACUCUUUUGAUAUGUACAUCCCAUCACCAACAAGCGAUGUUGAUUAGCCACGCUCUCUCCUGGUAUAACUUUGCAAUCCUUACAAGUUAUACGAUCCCCUUUCCUCAUUAGAAGAAAAUCUAUUUGUGUUUUUGACGACCCACUCUUGUAGGUGAUCACAUGUUCUUCUCUCUUCUUAAAGAAGGUGUUGGCUAAGAAGAGAUCAUAUGCCAUUGCAAAAUCCAAGAUAGCUUCCCCAUCCUCGUUUCUCUCCCCAAAACCAUGGCCACCAUGAAAACCUCCAUAGUUGCCUGUCUCCCUGCCCACGUGUCCAUUUAAAUCUCCUCCUAUAAAUAACUUCUCCGUCUGAGCAAUUCCUUGCACCAAGUCUCCAAGAUCUUCCCAAAAUUUCUCCUUCGAACUCGUAUCCAACCCUACUUGAGGUGCGUACGCACUAAUCACAUUGAUAAGUUCUUGUCCUAUUACAAUCUUGAUUGCCAUGAUUCUAUCUCCUACCCUCUUGACAUCUACAACAUCUUGUACCAAGGUCUUGUCCACGAUGAUGCCAACACCGUUUCUCGUUCUAUUUGUGCCCGAAUACCAAAGUUUAAACCCUGAGUUUUCUAGAUCCUUUGCCUUACUACCAACCCACUUAGUUUCUUGUAGGCACAUAAUAUUUAUCCUUCUCCUCACCAUAACUUCCACUACUUCCAUAGAUUUUCCCGUUAAGGUUCCUAUAUUCCACGUUCCUAAACGCAUUUUGCUCUCUUGAACUCUACCCUUCUGUCCUAGCUUCUUCACCCUCCCCCGUCUAAUAGGAUCAAAGUACUUCUUUUGUGUGUCCCGGGUAAAGUUGAUAGGAGCAUAUGCUCCCAAACAACUUUGAGUGGAGUCGUUCGAAAAGAAGUUUCUAUAGCCCCCUUGCUCAUUUAACACUGCAUCCGGGUGCCGAUGGAGAUACAGCGACCCUUGCUCACUUAUCACUGUGCUCAGGCCACACAGCGCGCCACUUACGGGUGACGCCCUAGCUUUAGCGCGAUUUUGUUCUGGAUUCAUUUUCAUAAGGAUUCGACGUGAUCAUGGAGUGCCGGCUGUCGACUACCUGACGCCCUCCCCCUCCUCCUUUAUCCGGGCUUGGGACCGGCCAUGUAAGACAUAGGCGGAGUUAUCAACCAAAACUUUAAAAGAAAAUAAUUAGAAAACAUGAUUCAGGAGAGAAAUAACAAGUCCAUCACGUAUUAGAAAAUCAGUUUUGCCCAGUGAUCGAAAUCAUUACAGGAUUAAAAACUAGAAUCCGACUUUGGAAGAACUUCCAUUCUCUUCUAAAACAGCUUCCACCAACGACAAACGUUCUUGCAGAUGUUUAACUGCACAUAGCAAUGGAAAAAGAUAAUAGGUCAGAAGUUAAUAGUUUACACCCAUUUUUCAAACACGGUGGUUGUUUGUUUUGAACCUACACCAGGUUCACCCUGUAUCAGCGGUUUCCCAGUCACACUAGUAUGAACAUUAGAUAUGAGUUUGAUAACACAAAAAACUAGUAGAUUUGUGUAUGCCCCCUUGGGAACUAAUUCUGUGUGGAAUUUUGUUGUAUGGGCUAUGGAGUAAAUACAUGUUGCAUGACGUGACUUGUUCGAGUUCAUUAGAGGGUCGUGGCGAUGCCCAUGGAAAGACAAGCUCAGGUCCUUUCCAUGUUCUUUUGUGAUCUUUGUUUCACAGUUGGAACGGGGGAGGUUUUGAUUCUGUGAUGAUAUUUGGGUUGGGAUUCCUAUUUCAGUGUCAUUUUCUGCCAUCUGUAUAGGAUCUCUUUGCCAUAAUUAAUCACCCCAAAAAAAUUAUUUGCAUUUGAUUCUUUGCAUAAACUUAUCUUAUGAAUAGUUGAGUAUGCUUUAAUGUCAAUACUAAUUUGUCCGUGACUAUGUCUUUGGUUCUCUAUGUUGUGUAUGGACCAGGGAAUUUAAAUUUUAAAGUGCUAUAUAACUUAUGCUAAAAUAUGUUUGGAAUACCCUAGAAAAAUUAGAUAGAGGCUUGAAAGGACUAGAUCCAGUACAUUUGAAAGAGCUCUCAGUACAAGACAACUUUGUUAAGUGUUUUUGUAGUGGUGUUCUAAUAGCAGCUUCGUAGUUUUAGUCUAAUGUUUUUGUUGUACAUUUUUAACAACCGAAUCUAAAAUCCCUCCGUACUUUAAAGUCCCUCCUCCAGACAUCACAUUAGAGAAUUAUAACUAUUCAACAUCCUUGGUGCAUUGGCAGAUUAAUGAUUGUAUCACGGAAUUUUGGCUAAGUUCCUUGAAUUAUUGAACCGUUAAUGCUUUCCAAAUGUUUUACUUUGAUUCAUUGUCUCACAUUUUCCAUGGUACAAGUUUACAUGAUUGCAAGCCGAUAGAAAGAGAUAGAUGUAGGGAGAAGUGGGAAUUGGGGGAGAGAGAGAGUGAGUGAGGGGUGCGGUUGCUUUUUAAAGAUUUCCUUGAAAUUGUUUCUGCAGUUUUUUUUUUUGGGUGGAUUUUCUCGAGUUCUUUCUAUUUGUUUGGAAUUGUUUCAUUUUUACUGAGAUUCUUUUGGUCCCUGUCACUAAACUCUGAUUUCUACUAUUAAUUGCUGCUGAAAUGUGACUUUUGCUAUUAAUUUUGUAAAUUAAUUAAGAUGCUUAAUGUUCCCUUAAUUGUGAUUAAGAUGGUCACAAUCCUACCAUCCUCUGUAUGCUCUGCCAUGUCCGCCGCCAAUGUUUUAUGUUCCGAUUUUUACUUUUUAAUCCUUUCUUACAACAUUUAAAUAAUCAGGUUGAAAUAGUAAUUCUAUUUUUCGACAAACGAUAGGUUAAAUUGUUAGUUGUUAUGAGAGAAGGAGAUCGUUUUAGAGAUCAAACCCGCAUCAAAAUAUAUGAUGAUUUCUGCAAAUGCGAUCAGCAGUUGCAUUUUACAAUAUACAACUUCAGUUAGCAUCAGUUUCUUAAUGAGUGGCAUGUGAAUUCUUAAUUUAAUUUCGGAAAAAAAUGCAUUUAAAUUUGGUGGUAUGUGAUGAACUUAGCAUUCUGUCUUUUAUUAUAUACUGGUGAUGGACAUUUUUAGCAUAUUGGAUUUAUCAUUUUCUAUAAAAUGAAGCUUCAUUCUCGCUAUGUUGUUGAUGUUUUUUUGUGAUUUCAGUUUAUAGUGCUUCUAAAUGCUGUUUUAAUUUAGGAAUUUGAAUAAUUGUUUAAAUGGGAUUGGAGGGUGAUAAAUAUUUCUAGCUAGGGAAAGGUCGCAUCCAUGUGUUGGUCGAAUUGAUGGAUGUAAAAAAUGAAUAUGGCAAGGUGUAAAAAAUGAAUAUGGAUGAACGUUUAGCUACUGCAUGUAGAUUCAGCUUUCCUUUGCAUUUGAGUGAGUUGGAAACCGAGUGGAACAGUUUGAGAGAGGGAGGGACGGAGGGAGAGAGAGAGAGAGGACGAUGUUGGGAUUUUGGUAAAGAUUUGAGCUUUAGUGGUAAGCAUGCUGAUUUGAGCUCACAGAAAAACCCAACAGUAUGUAGAUUGAAUUGAGUUGGGAACUGAGUGGAAAAAUGUUAGAGAGAGGAUUGUGUAUAGUUCUCAAAGCUUCUUACGUUGUUUUCUGAUGCAUCUUUGAGCCACUGGCCUUAGGUGGAGUCUUAUACUGCAAUAUUAUGUGCUAAUCUAAUAAACCCUGCAACUUAUUCGUCUUUGUCAUGAGUAAGUUUUGGUUUUUUUCAUUGGAAUAGGGAUUUAGUGGAUGAUUGUUUUUAACGCAUAUUAGUUAAAAUGAGUUGAGUAUUGGGUGCCAAUCCCAUGUCUGCAAAUCACAGUAGCCUAAGGAAGAAACACUGUCUGCACGAUCUAUAAUACCUAUUCACGCAAGAAUCUUUUCCCAAACUAAAAAGCUUACAUUUCCAAACGUGUAAAGGAUGGGCCACUAUCAUCUUACUUUUUCAAUACCUAAACCAUGCAGUGAUGCAUGGGCUGGAUAUUGCUCCUUUCAAGUUUCAAACCAUUAAAUGCUAAAGAUUUCUGGAUAAAUCAUCGUAGAAGUCGAUUCUACAGAUUCCUUCUUAGUUACACUCAGAUGAUAAUGUAUUUAUUGUCCUUGACAUGUUUUUAAAGUUUGCAUUUUCAAUGUAUAUUUCAUUAACUAAGCUUUAUCAGCGGAAUAUCAUCGCAAAUUUGUUACGGAAAAUGCUAUUGCUAGAUUCUGAUAUAUCUACUUUAGUUUUAAGGAUUACACAUUGUUUUACGAUAUAAAAUAGAUGUUCUGCCUUGAUUUGAUGCGGGGGUAUGCAUUAGCUAACAUUAAUUCUGCUUAGUAUUUCUCAAAUUCAUUUUGGGUUAAAAAGUUGGAGCUUUGGAUCGGGUUUUUUCUUUAUUCAUGUUGGAAGAAUACAUGCAAGUCAUAUCUUGUGUUAAAAUGCAUGCAUGAAAUAAACUUGUUGGAUGACUAGUGAAGUUAGGCUAGUCAACAUUCUUUGUGUAAAAUGCAUGCAUGAAAUAAACAUGUUGGAUGACUAGUGAAGUUAGGCUAGUCAACAUUCUUUGUGUAAGUUAAGCAAGUUAGGCAAGUUAGGCUUAUGUCUACUUUCUUUUCCUAUAUAUAUGUUUCAUUUGUAAUUGUUUCUUCAUGAAAUACACAUAAAAAAUUCUACAUGGUAUCAGAGCAGGUUCAUUUGUAACCUGUCUCUGCCAUUCUUGCUGCUGCAAUUUUUUCUUUCUUUCAAAGUCUAAGUCAUGACUGAAGAAAGUUCUGUGAACCAUGAUGAGGAAACCCGGCACAAUCUCUCUCCAAACUUCUCAGACGUUGAGGUUAACACCAAUCAACGUUUGUGUUCAGUUCUCUUGAACGAGUUCAAUUAUCUUCCUUGGUCCCGAGCUGUUUCACUAGCUCUCGGAGGCAAAGGGAAGUUAGGGUUUGUAAAUGGAAGCGUGGAAGCUCCAGACAGUUCUUCCUCUACAUACAAUGCAUGGCUCUGCAAAGAUCAACUUGUCAUGUCCUUGCUGCUCAAACACCAUGGAGAAACAUGUUGCUGAAAUUUUUAGCUACUCCAAUUCCGCACAUGAUCUUUGGAAAGCUUUGCAGGAUAUGUAUGGAAAUCAAAACAACUAUGCACGGGUCUUCCAAUUAAAGAAGGACAUUGACAGUGCUCAACAAGAAGGGAAAGCAUUUGUUCAACACCUUGGGAGCCUCAAAGCCAUGUGGAAUGAGUUGGAUGUAUAUCUCCCUCAUACCACAGAUCCUACCAUUCUCCUAAAACGAGCUGAGGAAGACAAAAUUUAUCAGCUGUUAGGGAGUUUGAGCUCUGAGUACGAGGACCUAAGGAGUCACAUCUUGAUGAGUCAAGACCUGCCUACCUUCAACAAUGUUUGUGCAACUAUCCAACGAGAAGAAGUAAGGAAGAAGGUUAUGAAUGUUGAUCACAAUCCUAGAUUAACGGAGACUCGGGCAUAUGCAUCAAAGUACAAGAACUCAUAAGCCAAGGUAUACAAGGGAAGAAACACACAUCUAAAAUGCAAAUAUUGCAAUGGUGUUGGUCAUGAGGAAGACAAGUGUUGGGAACUUCAUCCUGAACUCAAGCCUAAGUUCAGCAAAGAUGGAAGGAUGAUACCAAGGUCCUCACAACAAUUUCAAACCUCAUUUCAAGGCACAACUUGCUAAUGCUCACGCUCCUACUAUCUCACAAGGAUCCAUGGAGUUCACUGCCAAUCCAUUGUCAUUAAUCAAUGAAUUUGCAGCUUACCUACAAAGUAAGGGGCACGGAGGAGGCUCAUAUGGUCAAGGCAAUGAAGAGGGUAGUCACACACACAGCUAUGUUGGGACAAUUUGCCGGAUUUCUUGCUGGAAAUGAGAAAGUUCCAAAGGGAGAAGCAUCAGGUAUACUCAAAGCCUUUACUACUGCCCUAUUAACUAGUACUGAAAUUGAUUGUUGGAUAAUUGAUUCAGGCGCCACAGAUCAUAUGACAAACAAAGUUACAAAUUUACAUCAUUUUAAAAAAAUUUCAAGCCCCUCACAUGUGUCUAUUGCAAAUGGAAAAAAUGUCUUAGUUUUGGGAAAAGGAGAAAUAAACUUACUCUCUCAAAAAACACCUUCCACUGCCCUCUAUGUACCAACCUUUCCCUUCCAACUUUUGUCAAUUGGAAAGAUCACCAACACCCCUAAACUGCCGUGCUAUUUUCUCACCAAAUAAAGUAAUGUUUCAGGAUGUUCUCACCAUGAAGAUGAUUGGUGAAGGGGUCUUCAUAAAUGGACUUUACUACCUGUGCAAGAAUGCAUGUUUCACUCAGGCUCUUCAAGCUCAAUCGAAGUCCAUAGAUGAAAACCAACUUUGGCAUAGGAGAUUAGCUCACCCCUCUGAACUUGUCUUGUCGAAACUGUUUCCAAAUUUUUGUAACCCCUAUCCUACUUGUGAUACUUGUCAAUUUUCUAAGUUUACUAGGCUACCUUUUGGUAAUUCAAUGUCUAGGACAAGUAAACCUUUUGAAAUGGUACACACCGAUGUAUGGGGACCUGCAACUGAAUCAAUGGAAGGUUUUAAAUAUUUUGUUCUAUUUGUUGAUGAUUUCUCUCGAACAAGUUUUCUAUAUCUUAUGAAAUCAAAAAGUGAAGUCCCUACCAUUUUCAAAGACUUUCACAUGCAUGUUAAAACGCAAUUUCAAUCAAACAUUAAGGUUUUAAGGUCAGAUAAUGGCACUGAAUUUCUAUCCAACAACAUGCUUCAAUACAUAAGUUCUCAGGGUAUCAUACAUCAAACCAGCUGUGUGGGGACUCCCCAACAAAAUGGAGUAGCCGAGAGGAAAAAUAGAGAUCUCUUGGAAAAAACUCGUGCUCUCAUGAUUCACAUGCACGUUCCAAAGAAAUUUUGGUCGUUUGCCAUCCUUACUGCCACUUAUCUCAUCAAUCGACUUCCAAGUCGUGUGCUAGGGUUUAAAUCUCCUUAUGAAGUUCUCAAGGGGAGGAAAAUAGAUUUGACACAUCUCAAGGUGUUUGGUUGUGUGUGUUUUGUUCACAUCCAAACCUUGAACCGUGACAAAACUAGAUGCCAGGGCAACCAAGUGUGUGUUUAUGGGAUACUCGACCACUCAAAAGGGAUACAAGUGCUUCAAUCCAGUCACUAAGAAGUGCACAGUUUCAAGAGAUGUGAAGUUCGAAGAAGACUAUCCCUAUUUUACAAGUCAGGGGGAGGAUUUAGUUGACAUGUUCCCACUCCCUCAAAACUUUAAUUAUCCGAUGUUGGAAAAGAGAUCAGUCAUUGUAAGUCCAGAUUGUGAAGAAGUUCAAACUGACCAAAUUACUGCCAGUGAAAGUGAAGACGAGCCCUACUCUGAUCCUUCUCCGCCCUCUACAGAGUCUCAGGUGAUUAAAAGAAAUCCUCCUCGAAUCAGAAAACCUCCAGCUAGGUUGCAGGACUAUGUUACAUAUGCCUCACGACAUCCAAUCAAUGAAUGUAUCAGCUUUAGUAAGUUCUCAACAUCUCAUGCUGCAUUUCUCAGUGAAAUUGAUAAGCACUAUGAACCAAGAAGCUUUCAAGAAGCUUCUCUUCUCCCACAAUGGAACCAAGCCAUGAAAGAAGAGAUUCGUGCACUGGAAGAGAAUUGCACCUGGAGCCUAGUUCAACUACCACCAGGAAAAAAGGCUGUUGGAAGUCGUUGGAUUUACAAGACUAAAUUCAAAGCUGAUGGAUCUAUCGAGAGACACAAGGCUAGACUUGUUGCUCGAGGUUUCACCCAAACCUUUGGUGUAGAUUAUAAGGAAACAUUCGCACCGGUGGCCAAGAUGAACUCAGUCAGGGUUUUACUGUCAGUUGCAAUCAAUUGUGGAUGGUCACUCUACCAAAUGGACGUGAAGAAUGUUUCCUUCACGGCGAGCUGCAGGAAGAAGUGUAUAUGCAACCUCCUCCAGGCUAUGAUGGUAUUAAAGGCAACAUGGUUUGUAAAUUGCACAAGGCAAUAUACGGAUUGAAACAAUCACCAAGAGCUUGGUAUGCCAAGCUCAGUUCUGUUCUGGAAAAGGCUGGAUUCAUGCGAAGUAAUGCUGAUUCUUCGUUAUUUGUAAGAACUGGCACCAGGGGGAAGUUGGUGGUCCUCGUCUAUGUUGAUGAUCUUAUCAUCACUGUAGAUAAUACCGUGGAGAUUGAGGCACUAAAACUCUCACUACAUCAAGCUUUCGCUAUCAAAGAUUUGGGGAGGUUAAAGUAUUUUUUGGGGAUCGAAAUGGCAACAUCUUCAAAAGGACUGUUUCUACAUCAACGGAAAUAUGUAUUGGACCUCCUUCAAGAAGCAAAAAUGCUUGACUGCAAGCCUGUUAUCACUCCCGUUGAUUGUAAACUGAAGCUCAGCAUAGAUGGAGAAGCCAUGCAUGAUGUAAGCUACUAUCAACGAUUAGUAGGCAAGCUCAUAUACCUCACUAUCACUCGUCCAGAUAUCACAUAUGCAGUGAGCUUGGCUAGUCAGUUCAUGCACUCUCCCACUGUUGAUCACCUUAACCUUGUUAAGAGAAUCCUUCGUUAUCUUAAGGGUUCAAUUGGGCAAGGAAUUACAAUGCAUAACAAUCAGUCCACUGUCAUUAGUGGCUACACAGAUGCAGACUGGGCAGGUAAUGCAAUUGAUAGGAAAUCAAUCACAGGCUAUUGUACAUUUGUUGGUGGAAACCUUGUCACAUGGAAGAGUAAGAAGCAACAGGUAAUUGCUCGUUCCAGCGCAGAGGCUGAGUAUCGAGCCAUGGCAGCCACUGCGUGUGAACUCAUUUGGCUUAAAGGGCUUCUUUCAGACUUAGGGUUUCCUAGUUCUACUCCUAUGAUGCUUAUGUGUGAUAAUCAGGCAGCCAUGCAUAUUGCUGCCAAUCCUGUGUUCCAUGAAAGAACCAAACAUAUUGAAGUGGAUUGUCAUUUCAUCAGAGCUCAAGUUCAAACGCAAAUCAUCCGGACCAUGUUCACACGAAGCCAUGAUCAACUAGCAGAUCUUUUUACAAAGGCACUAGCAUCAUCUCAGUUUCAUCGGUUAUUGGGCAAGCUUGGCUCAGUGAAUCCCCUCGAUCCAGCUUGAGGGGGAGUGUUGGAAGAAUACAUGCAAGUCAUAUCUUGUGUUAAAAUGCAUGCAUGAAAUAAACAUGUUGGAUGACUAGUGAAGUUAGGCUAGUCAACAUUCUUUGUGUAAAAUGCAUGCAUGAAAUAAACAUGUUGGAUGACUAGUGAAGUUAGGCUAGUCAACAUUCUUUGUGUAAGUUAAGCAAGUUAGGCAAGUUAGGCAAGUUAGGCUUAUGUCUACUUUCUUUUCCUAUAUAUAUGUUUCAUUUGUAAUUGUUUCUUCAUGAAAUACACAUCAAAAAUUCUACAAUUCAGCUAUCAUUUUCUGCUUAGGAGACUCUCUUAAACUGUGUGAAACUGUGCUCAUUAGGCUGGGCAGAGCAAUGACAAGCUAAAAACAAAACAAAAACAAGCAGAAUUAUCACAUGUAGUGCAGGAUAAAUUCUAAACGACCCAAAUCUGGAUGGUAAAAUACUUGGAGUUGGAAUUAAUAGGAUCGAUUGAAACAUGGAUUUUUUUUUUAUUAGAUUGGUAUAUCUGACUUAAUUAAGAAGUUGUUUAAGACACAGUCAUUAGGGAAUUUCUGUAAUUGAACGUAGUUGUUUUCAUGAGGUUAAAUACAAUAAGGUGAUUCUAUGCCAAGAAGUGAUUUUAUAUGGACACAUUGUAUGAUGUAAAAUGGUAAAAGGAGUACCUGUUCCUGUCCAGCCUUAUGUUUUCUGAGUCUUGCUUAUUUUUCAUUAGUCAUAUGAAAGAUGCUGCAAUAUCGUGGGAUCAAAAUAGCUAAGAAACUGGACGUGGACAUCUUUAUUCUAUAGAGCGUAUGUAAAAGUAAUUUAGACUUUAUUAGUUUAUAUUAAUCCUUCACUUCUGUUCAUAUAUUGUAAUUUCUAUAUGGUUUGUCCACAUUUGUCUUAGGAGACUCUGGGGCUGCUUAAAUUUUAUAUAUUCAGUUGCAUAGAGUCGGCAUGACAUGCACAGCGAUUGUCAGAUUGCCACCCUUAGUUGGUGAUAUUUUCUUUACAACACAUUCAAAUUGAGGAUUUAGAAAAUCUAAUAAUAAAACUCAAACAUAUGUUCGAUGCUUUUUGUUUUCAUUUUCGGUUAAAAGGUUUCAGCUUUGGAUUGGGAUUUACCUUUAUUAAUCUAUAAUUUUGUGCUCAGGACACCAUCUUGGGGGUCUUAACAUGAUUGUUCUUCUAUUUCAUAGACUCAAAACGUGUCUAGUGUUUCAUUGAAUUGGUAUACCUUUGCUCAUUUAACUCAAAUUUAAUACGGUUUGGUCCUCCAAUUUCUCUAAAUUGCCAACGGAUUUAUUUUCUUUGGAAAUUUCAGGAACUCUGGUUGUGGUAGGAACAAGCCGGCUCCUUGCUAUUUUUAGGUAUAUGAUUAUGUGCCCUGAUUGCAUGUUCAAAGUCUAAUUAGUUAUAUAAACUUUUAAUUUAUCUUUGCAAAGCUUUUGUACUUGGAUUUUAGUUUAGAUAUGCGAUUUGUUUGUGAAAAAUUAACGAGAAGACUAAUCAUGGGGACAUUCUUAUUUCUGAAAUUUUCUCUUCAGCAUUGUUUCUUGAAUAAAUUUGGAUUGGUAGAUGUAGGGGUAGAGUAACCCCCGUGGUGUAAAUAAAAGGUAUAGGCGUAAUGAUUUCUAGGUUUAGAAUUCAUUGAAAAAUAUGAUAUAAUGCUGCGUUCUCUAAUAUUUUUUUUUUUUUUGGCUGUUUGCUGUUCUAAACUUUUGAACUCCUUUUUGGAUUGAUCUUUGUUAUUUUUGUUUUUGGGGGUAUCUGAUUGGUCAAGGUUGCCCAAUCUUGGUUGUACUUUUUCCCAAGACAGGGCACAUUUGAAACUUUGAAUUCUUGAGUUUAUAUUUUAAUUCUCAUUAGUUAAUGCUUAAUAUUUGGCCUUUUAUUUUGAGAUUAGAAUGAAUACGUUUGGCCUGAAAGACAGUAAACUGAAUUAAAAGCUGGCUUAUUUUCCAUUGGCCAUCAAUUAGGGUGAGAAAACAUUGAAUUGAGAUCAUUAAACAGCACUUAUAUAGGGCACUAUACCAAAUGAGCUCGAAGAGGACUCAGCAAUUGAAGAACAAUUGAUGGCAUACACCUUGGACAUGAUUAAGUUAGUUGAACAUUAUACUAUAACAAGUACAUAUUUCUGGAGUCAGUUUCACACGCAGACACGCACACACACAUCUGACGUAAAGUUAGUCUAUUAGAUGGUUUCCAGAUUGACCCCCCCUUGCCAAAUCUAUUUCAAGGCUGGAAGGAGAGUUAAAACAUAUGUUAUUGUCUUAUAUGUUUGUAUUUGAAUGGUAACGAUGUUGUUCUUCUGGUGGAAAAUUUUUCCUUUGAAUCCAUUUCAGCUUAGGCUCUACUUUUUUUUUUUUCAUUUCAGCUUCAUUUUCAUGUUCAUCAUGUCCUGUUGGUAUGUGUUUUGUGUUGGCAUUGGAGGGUGGUGGGUUGUCGUUUUGUUUUUCUUUUCUCUGAUUGUAAGACCUUCUAACGAUUGAAUUUAUUUUAUGCUGAAACACUCAUUUUGAUCCCCUAGUUUGAGUUUUUCAGUUACGUAUCAAUACUUAACUGCUGGAUUUUUCUUAAGGAAAUUGGAUAUAGGCUAUAUACUAUGUGUAAAAGUCAUGGAGAUCAAGUUUUGUGCUUUCAUUUGUCACAAUGCAGUUUUUUGUUUUCAUAAAUCAAGUUUUGUGCUUUCAUUUUUCUUUUAAAUUUUAAUUUGUCUUUCAAUCAGUUUUUUGUUUGAGAGAACUCUUAAUUUUCAUGGAAAUAUAGUUAUUUGUGAAUAUGGAAACUUGAAUCUGUGUAGACAUCAGAGUUCUUAUGGUUGUGAUAUGAAAUUUAAAUACAAACUUCCCAAUUUGUUUUUGGAAUUUUAACUAAACUUGCGUUGUAGGUAGAUCAUGCUAUUAAGAUAACAAAAAAAUAGGUAGAUUUGUGUAUGCAAUGAGUUGUAGUGAACAUUUGGCAGUAAUAGAAAUGGUUUAGGUGUGCACAGUUUUGGCCUAAAUGGUUAUCACACGAGCGUAAAUGUUUGUUUCAUUUGUGAUUGAACUCGAAUUUGUUGGAAAGCUUUUCAAUUUAUGAAUAUGGAAAGCUUUUCGUCUUUACUUCUAAACUUAUUUUCUGCUUGGUUGUUGAGAAGGUGAUGGAAAUAUAGUUAUCUGUUAAUAUGGAAACUUGAAUCUGUGUAGACUCCUUGGGUUGUCUGUUGUGUUCAGUGGAGGUUUAGUGUUUUAAUUUUGAAUGAUUUGUUUUUCGUUUCAUGGAAAUGACCUAUUAUUUGAUUUAAUUGAGUAAUUUAAUGGAAGUAUAUUCUCUUUUUUUUCUUUUCCAUAUUUCGUUUUGUCUGCAACCAAACAGGGUAAGGAACUGUAAUCUUUUUAAUUACUCUGCUAUCUCCGUGAGUUAUGAAAAUCAGACCUUUUGUUUUAUUUCUGUAUAUGUAGUUCCGAAGGAAUCAAGUGCCAAAAUUAGAAUAAACAUCCUUUAGUCAAGUUACGCACUUUUCCAUAGAAUGUUUGGUUUAGGGAUCCCUUAUACAAGCACAAUAUUCUUAUGUAUUUAAAUCGUAGUUGACCGUCAUGGUUUAAUAAGUGUGAAAACUGUCUUUAAGUCUUAACUAUACCAUUGGAGCGAUACAGUUUUAGUUAUUUUAUUGGAUCCGUUUGUUAGCGCUUUGAAUUCUUACUCUGAAUCUCACUCAUUUUUUGCAGUUUAGAUUGGACUCUCAUCACGGCAUUGUAAUCUGCUCUUGCUGCUGCGAUUAAUCUAACGGUUCUGAGGCGUUGCAUUUGAAUCAAGACUUCGGUAUGCUAGCUGAACUUAAAUGCAUUCUUUUCCCAUUCUUUCCGUUUGAGGCAGCGCAACUUUAUGAUCUUUUAUAUUGAUUGUUUGGUUUGAUCACCUUUUGUUAUUCGUUUGCUUUAUGCUUUGUUUUUCAUUCUUGGUUGUCUCUGUGAUUGUCUCAUUGUCCAGAGGUCGGAUGGUUAGUUUUUUAUUUUUUUUGUUCUAAUUUUGUUUGUGCAAUUCCGUUAUUGUUUGAAGGCCCGUUGCUAUCUCUGUGAUUCUGGUUUAACCCGGUGCUCUUAAUUCUUUAUCGGAUGUUGUUGGUCAUUUUAUCUCUUUUAUUUUGUAUUGGUUGGUUGGUGUUUUCGUUUGGUUUUCUGAUGGUGAACUAUCUCAUCCUCCCCGAAGUGUUUUAACAUGUUUUGUUGAUAAUUGCGCUCUCUAAACGAACUCGACAUUUUUUUAGAAAAAUCACAACUUCCAUAUUUAAGAAAAUGUGUGGCUUUUUAGCAAUGCAUGAAUGCAGCUAAGAUGUUCUGAAAAAUUCAUGGAUAUUUUACAUUCAAACCACAAGUAUCAUUAACUUAUAAAUAAUUAAGUUAUGUAUUUUCUUUAUCGGCUAUCACUUCAAAAUUUGAACUAAAACACUGUCAAAAAGCUUUUUGGUUGUGUUUUCCUUAUUCAUUAUGUAAGUUUCGCAAAUCUUCUACAUGCUGCAUAUUUUUUUGUUUGAACAUCUAUGGUUGACGAGUUACCUGCUCAAACGCCACUUUUUCUGUGUUUUGCUAACUGCUAAGUGAGUUAUGUAGGUUGCAAAGCAUAUAUUUGGCCGUCUUAACUGCAGGGGCAAAAUAUGUGUGAAUUGCAGCUUCCUUCUGUUUCUACAGUUUCAUAUAUGGAAACAGGCCUUCUGUUUUUUUUUUUUUUUUUGCCUUUGAACAAUUAUGGUUCCAAAAUUAGCUACUUGAACAAGUCCUCAACACUUUCUGCUUUAAAUUACCUGUUGAACUAGCUGCCUACACUGCAGGACACAUGUUAUGUGUGAACUAAAUGUUUCUUCUUUUUCUUAAGCAAACGGAAAUUGUUUGGAAACCAUCUCUUUCUAAUCAAACACGUACAGUUUCUUCCCACUCAUUGUGCAUUGUGUUUAUAUGCCAACUCACUUAAAUAUGUAUAACAGCACAAUUGCUUAUCUUAUUGGGCUCAUUCACUCAUGUAUCCCUCUGUUUGUUUGUAAUUGUGUUGAAUUUAUUCAACUUAAAUGUGUUUUAUCCAUCCGAUUACGUCUGAAACAGUGGUUCCCGCAGCAGCGUGCGGGCGUAUUUUCUAGUUUUUAACAAAAUUUUGCAAACUAAAUGACACGAUUGUUGAUGAGUGGAUUAUUAUUUUAGUGUUGAUUAACAUGCUUAUUUUAUUGUGGUGACACAUCAUUUAGUUUGCAAAUUUAGUCUCCUUGUCAUUACCUAUUUGUGUAUGAUGGCGGAGGCAUCAAUAAUUAGUUCUCACCAUUUGAAUUUGUGCAAUUGUGACAACAGAUCAAGCUUCCAAAUCUCCAAGGAACUAGUCUUUGACUGUUGAUCUUCCCUUCGUCGAGUCUGUAUUUGUUGAUCAUAAGCGGAGUCAGAUUUGAACUUCCCUGUAAGUUCUUAUUAUUCACUGAAUAAUACAUUAGUUGUUUCUCAUUUUAUUUGAACUACUUUUUAUUCAUUUGUUUCUUCACUUAAUUUGUGCAGCUCUUCACCUCAAUAUUGCUCAAGAACGCUUCCUUAUUUCUUUGGUUGCUUGGAGUUCUCAGCGCUCCUAAGAUGCCACUUGGAGAGGUUUUUCUUGCGGCGUUUCUACAGUUGCUGCUUGACAGGUUGACCCCUCGCGACAUUCUCAACUACUUUGGAAACUUCCGGGGUGUUGGAAAGAAGCUGGAGAAGUGGAGGGCCACGUUAACUACAAUCGCAGCAGUGCUGAGCGACGCCGAUGAAAGACAACGGACUGACGAUGCUGUAAAACUAUGGCUCAAUAAUCUCAGAGACCUUGCUUAUGAUGUCGAAGACAUGUUGGACAAAUUUGCGACUCAAAUGUUGAAGCGCACGAUAGAGGGACGUGAUCAAGCCAGCACGAGCAACAAGGUGCGAAACUCACUUUUCAAAAUUAAAUUGAAUUGGAAUAUGAACUCCGAAAUGAAGAAGAUUACGGAGCGGUUACAAGACAUAUCUGACCGAAAAGUUAAGUUUAGCUUGAAAGAUACUGGGACGUCUGCUAAGGAAUCGCGAAGUCUACCAUGUUCAGGCGUGUUAGAUGAAAAGCUUCUUGUUGGAAGAGAUGGUGACAAAGGGAAGAUUAUUGAAUUGUUGAAAAAGUCUACCAAUUUUGGUGUGGUUGCUAUAGUUGGCAUGCCCGGAGUUGGGAAGACGACACUUGCUCAACUUGUAUUCAACAACAAAGAUGAUGCCAUGAAGGAGUUUGAGCUCAAGGUCUGGGUAUCUGUGUCCGAUGACUUCGAUGUUGUGCGAGUGACAAAGGCAAUUCUUGAAUCAAUGAAACCCCUACCCGUUCAAGUGGAGGAGUUUAGUAAAAUGCAGCAUGAUUUGAGUGAGCAAUUAAGAGGAAAAAAGUUUUUAAUCGUUUUAGAUGAUGUUUGGAACAAAGGUGACCGUGAUCUAAACGAUCUCUGGUUAAGACUUAAAUCCCCUUUUGGCGUCGGAGCAGGAGGAAGUAAGAUUAUUGUGACAACCCGUGAUUUAAAUGUUGCAAAGAUUAUGGGAGCCACUGGAUUUCAUAAUUUGGAAUGUAUGGCAAAUGAUGAUUGUUUGGAAAUAUUUGAGCGACAUGCAUUCGGGGAAGUUAAUAGUGGAAAACCAGUAAAUUAUGAGUUAAUUCGGACAAAAAUUGUUGAAAAAUGUUGUGGCUUACCAUUAGCUGCGAGGACUCUCGGUGGUCUUUUACGUUGCAAAGAAACAGAUGAGUGGGGAGAAAUAUUGGACAACAAACUAUGGAAUCUCGCAGAUAACUGUAACCUUCCCCGCGUACUAGAGUUGAGCUAUCACUAUCUUCCAUCACAUUUGAAGAGGUGUUUUGCCUAUUGCUCAAUACUUCCAAAUGACUACGAAUUUGGGGAGAAGCAGCUCGUCCUUUUGUGGAUGGCAGAGGGUUUGAUUCAACAAAAACCUGACAACAAUAAACAAAUGGAGGAUUUGGGCCGCGACUACUUUCGAGAGCUAUUAGCAAGGUCGCUGUUUCAAGAAUCAAGCAAAAACAAUUCACGAUAUGUAAUGCAUGACCUCGUUUCUGAGUUAACACGAUGGGCUGCAGGAGAAAUAUGUUUUAGGUUGGAAGAUAAGCAAGGUGAUAACUUGCAAAGCACUUGCUUUCGAGGGGCUCGCCAUUCGUCUUUCAUUGCUGGUGAAUUUGAUGGAGUUAAGAGAUUUGAGGACUUUCCAAAAGCUGAACGUUUGCGAACAUUCCUGCCACUUUCGCUUUCAUAUUCCACGGGAUGGUUAAAAUUUUUGUCUCGUCAGGUUACUUUUAAGCUAUUACCACAGUUGCAAUACUUACGAGUGCUCUCGUUCAAUGACUACAAAAUAACUGCGCUGCCAGAGUCAAUCGGUGAUUUGAGGUUGUUACAGUAUCUUGACCUUUCCUACACAUAUAUAACUAGUUUGCCUAAAUCGAUAAGUACUCUUUACAACUUGCAGACAUUGAUAUUGGAACACUGUUACUAUUUGAAGUCAUUGCUUGCGGACAUGAGUAAUUUAAUUAAUUUGCGCCAUCUCAACAACUCAUAUGUAUCUUCGUUGGAAGGAAUGCCUCCAAAUCUAGGUAGCUUGGUGAAUCUCCAAUCUUUGCCUAAUUUUGUGGUCAGUGGUGGAAGUGAUCAAUCAGGAAUAAGAGAGAUAGGGCCCCUAUCGCAUCUCCGAGGGACAUUGUGCAUCUCAGGAUUGGAGAAUGUGACUGAUGUCGAGGAUGCCAGGAGGGCCAACUUGAAAUGCAAGGAGAGGCUUGAUUCGUUGGUCCUAAAAUGGUCUCAUUCAAGCGACACGAGAGAAACGGAAUCCGUUGUGCUUGACAUGUUAGAGCCUCAUACAAAGCUCAAGGAGCUCACCAUCAAGAGUUAUGCCGGAGAGGAAUUUUCAUCAUGGGUUGGAGGUCCUUUGUUCUCUAAUAUGGUGCUUGUGUGCUUACAGAAAUGUAACAAUUGUUUAUCGUUGCCUCCUCUCGGACAAUUGCCUCAUCUCAGGGAACUUUAUAUUAGUGGAAUGAAUGCAGUGGAAAGUGUUGGUGCUGAGUUUUAUGGAGAGCGUAUGUUGCCUUUUCCGGUAUUAGAGACUCUUGAGUUUGUGGAAAUGCAGCAUUGGAAGGAAUGGCUUCCUUUCCAAGCCGAUCACGAAGGUGGUGCUUUCCCUUGCUUGAAAACACUCUUAGUAAAAAAAUGUUCUAAACUGGAGGGUAAACUGCCAGAGAAC
rnacentral:lncRNA from 1 species